CAUGAUGCACGAGAUAGCAUAAGUAGUAGUAGGAAGCAGCUCUUAUUUGUGGCGUCGGUAUACAUCAUACUAGGUAGAUGGUUCAAUUGGCAUGGAUGGGUGGUGGAGCCUUGAAGUGCUUGUGAUGGGGAGCCCACGGCUUCUUCUCAGGAGUUGGUGGCUUCUUGUAUGGAGUUGAUGGAGGUGUUUCUACUGGAGGGUGGCCAGGGUAGUGACCCUGGGGUGGUGAAGGUUCUUUUGUCGGUGGUGGCCUCACUAUUAUUGGCGGUAGAGUUGGUGGCUUGGGCGUUGGCGGUGGUCUCACUACUCUUGGGGGUAGAGUUGGUGUCUUGUGUUUUGGUGGUGGAGGUGGCUUAACAGGAGUUGGUGGCUUGUAUUCUGGGGGUGGUUUCUCCACCGGAGGUGGCUUAUAAACUGGAGUUGGUGGCUUGUAUUCUGGGGGUGGCUUCUCCACUGGUGGUGGCCUGUAAACAGGGGUUGGUGGCUUAUAUUCUGGGGGAGGCUUCUCCACUGGAGGCGACUUAUAAACAGGGGUUGGUGGCUUGUAUUCCGGGGGUGGCUUCUCUACGGGAGGUGGCCUGUAAACAGGGGUUGGUGGCUUCUCCACCGGAGGUGGCUUAUAAACGGGGGUUGGUGGCUUGUAUUCUGGGGGUGGUUUCCCCAGUGGUGGAGACUUGUAAACAGGAAGAGGUGGUUUGUGCUCAUAUGGGGGUGGCUUGUGGUCAUUAGCAAGUGAGGGAGUGGUGAGGACCACCAAUCCAAGGAACAACACGAGUGAGCAAGCAGAAGACAUGUUUGGGCUCUGGUGAUGCACAAGUAGAAGAAAUGGGAACCAUUUAUAAUGCUUCGAGACCUUGGUUAGCACCAAAAUAUGUCAAAAUCUUGAUUACUUCAUUUCAUACAUAGAUUUAAAAUUAUUUCAAUCAACCAUGAUCCUUAAUUUUCUGGGUGGUCCAUAAAUGUAAUGGGGUCAAUUUGGGACCUAACAAGCUGAGAAGUUUGACAAUGCUGCAAGGCUUCAUCCGAAAGUCCGGGGAAGAAUAUUAGGAGUUACACUCCGUUUCCUUUUUUGGGUGCAUUUUUCUCCUUUAACAUUCUAUUCCCUUUUACAUUAGCAUUUGAUCUUAGCUCAUUUCAAGUACAAGUUUCUUGAACCCUAUACCAUUGUCAAAGUUGAGUAACCAUCUCUACUUUGCUCAAGAAACAUAAAAGACAAUGACAAUAAAGAAAAAGGAGAGAGACCAUACGUGACUUGGUUUAUAGGUGGCUUUGUGUUGACAUUUGAGUAUGGAAGCCGACAUGCAUCUUAGCUUCGAUUUUAAUUAAAUUUGUACAUUAGUGUCUGUGUCAUUCAUUUUGGUAUAAAAGGUCUCUUGAUUUCGUAAGUUUGGUAAGAACCGUUGAAAAUAGCAGUAGCAGCACAUGGUCCACUUUCUUUCACAAAAUAAUUUUAAAAGUUUAGAAGCAUAGGAGGUAACAUUAGUGGCCUUGUGGCUCAGCCACGAGUACUAUGUGGUGCUCGAGAAAUUGAGUUUAAUUUCCUUCCGAUAGUUCAUGAUAAGGUCCGUCACUGUCCUGAGACAGAUUGCGUUUUUUCUUUUUUCCUUUUUUAGUGUUUUAUUGACUAGCUAGGUGUGACUUUUCCUACUUUAAGGCACGAGGCAGAAAAGAAACUGGGAUUUAGUGCUUAAGAAGGCAAAUUUAAUUCGAUUUGGAUCUAAAAUUUGCCAGCAACAUGAGAUUUUCCAGCCUAUCGUUGCUCCACAUAUAGACAAGGCACUUGUAGAAGUGGCUUGUUUGUAGCCAUUCCCGAUAUUUGGACUCACUUGAUUCACCGGACACUUUGAUAAAAUUUAAUAUUUAUUAUUUAAUAAUUUAAAUUGAUUUAAAAUUAAAUUAUACCGAAGUUGUGAUUUAAAAAUUAUUAUUUAAUUCUUACUUUUAAAUAUGAAGAUUAUUUGAUAAAAAUAAUUUAAAAUUUAUUAUAAAUUAUCAAAUUAACAUAUUUAUCCUUAUAAAUUAUAAUUAAAACAGAAAAGGUCAAAUGAUUUGAGUAUCCAUAGAUGUGGUAAAAUAAUAAAAAAGAUUAUAAAAACAAUUAUGAUAAAUAAAGAUAAAAAGUAAAAUGAAUAUGUGAAUUUAAAGAAUAAAUUAAUUAUUUUUAUUUAUUACUUAAAAUUAUUUUUGACUUUAAAUUAUAUUAUUAAAUUAUUUUACCAAACAUACUUAAUUUAGUUAAUAAUUUAAAUUUAAUUUAAGUUAUUAAAUUGAUUCACCAAAUACCCACUUAAUCAAAGACUGAAGUAUACAUUAUUUGGCCAAAUGCAGCUAUUGAAAUUUAACUUUUUCCAAACUUAUUCAUUUUGUGGAAAUAUUUUUAGAAAUGAUUUUAAAAAUGCACUAUUCUGUGUGUUGAUUUUAUAUUUUGGCAUUAAUCCAACAUAGAAAACGGUUCUUAUUUUCGCUGUUAAAUAGGUACCAGAUCCUUAAUUAGUGCCGUGAAUCCGGCAGCUUCCAAUGAGUAAUUUGGACUUGGGUAUUGACAAUGUGUGGCCAUGCUUCUACUAUUUUAUUAUUCUUGAAACAUAUAUGAUAUAUUGGACUUUAUACAGGGAAAAAAAAAAAAAAAAGUCUUCACCAAAAAUGAUUCCUCCUAAAAAAUAGACUCCACAAACUAGGUUUAACAGGAAAAUGAUUCUAAUCUAGUAGUUUCCAGCCACAUGAGCAUUUACGUAACAAUAGUAUAGUUGAUAACGACUUUUAUUUUAUUUAUUUUUAAAUAGUUAAAGGGAUAAUUUUUGAGCUUAAAUUUUAUUUUUUUAUUUAGAAACAUUUUACUUUAUUUUUUAAUCAUAAUUCUAUUAUAUUAAUGUUUUAUUUUCUAUUUUUUAAUAUAUAAGGAGAUACUAAAUUUAUGUGAUUAUUUUUUAAAAAUUUAGUAUAUGAAAUUAAAUAAUUGGAUAUAUAUACAUAUAUCAUAUAAUGUUUUUUAAGUGUGAUUUUUGAACUUUUUAGUCAUUUUAUAAGUUUAAGCUUUUGAUUUUUUUUUUUAAACUUUGGUAUUUUUUAUUUUAUAUAAAACUAUUUUGAUUUAAUUUUAUUAAAAAAUAUUGGUAUUAUAAAUUAUUGUAUUAAUUAUUUUUUUAUAUUAUAAUGUAACUGGUAUAUACUAAAAAAUGUAUGCAAGUUCAAUUUAAGUUUCAAAUUAAAAAAUUUCAUUUAAAUAUUUAAUAACUUGUUCAUAAUAAAAAAUUAAACAACAUAAUACAAAUGAAAAGAAACAUAAAAGAAAAAGGAAAAAAUGGUCCUCUCUGUGUGUCACAUUACUAGGUCAUCCUCUUUUUCUAUGACCCUUACAAUAGAAUGGCAUAUUUGUCAAAUCUACUUAUGAAAGUUGGAAUGUUUCUACAUGUGUAGGGUCCAUUGGAACUAAUGGAGGAAAGGCUUAACGUCUAUGUAAAUCACAACGUUGCCUAGGUGGGCAUAGAUCUAGUUGUGUAACAUGAGAUGGUGUGAGAGUACAAUAUAUGCAUUGUAGUCUCUAUGGGAAGAGAGAUAGGUAAUGGUAGGGUGGUAGACGGUAGGGUGAUCUCUAAUAUAAUGACAUUUGAUGUGGUGGCUUCUAAGAGAGGAGAUAUAAGAGAUGGUAGAAUGACAUUUGGUGUAAUGGUCUCUAGUGCAAUGACAUGUGAUAUGGUGACCUAUAAAGAAGAGAUAUAGGUGAUGGUGAAGUGGUAUGUGGUGUAGUGACCUUUGAGAUAGAAAAUAGAGGUAAUGGUAGGUUGGCAGGUGGAGUGGUCUUUGGUGUAGUGACAUCAAUUAUAAAUGUCUCCAAGGGAGGAAAUAAAGGUGAUGGUAGGUAGUAAAUGUUGAGGUGGUCUUUGAUAUGUUAUGCUCUAAGAGAGAAGGUAUAGGUAAUGAUAAUAGGGAAUUUGACAUAGUGGUGUUGGAAAUAAAAAGUGAAAGUGACCGUAGAGGUGAAAGGGCAAGUGUAAAAGCCUCAAGUACGAAUGGAGUAAUUAAUGUGGAUGGUGCUAACAUAGUCUUAGGUGGAUACACAAAUAGUCAUAGUCAUCAACUAGCUUGCCCACCAUCUGUCUUUCUGCUAGUGAUAGGUUACAUCUUAAUAGUAAUGGCCAACAUAAGUGGUGUGGAUCCGAUUUUUUUACGUGUGUCCCCACUCAAUCGACAAGACUUAUUUUUUAUUAGUGAAAAAUUAAUUUUGGAAAAGUUGGAGUCACCACUUAUUUUAUUUUAUUUUAAAAAGGAAAGUAAAACAAGAAAGAGAACUCUAAAGAAGUGACUUCAUAGUUUUGGAAAAGUUAGUCUUAAAAAAUCCAAGUCUUGGUCCGGAGAUCAGGUUACUUAUUGGGAAGAUACCUCUAAGAGGUAAUACCCCUCUAAACCCUAAAGAAGUCUCUAAUGACUAAGUUGAGGAGAAUGUGGUAAUUAAUUAAUUGAUUGAGGGUACCUAGGUAGACUAAGGUGAUUUCAGAAUUAACAUACCAAGCUAGAAAGUCCAAUCAUGAUCAUAAAAGAGAGUCAAAGUAUGUACCUGAACUGCUUCUCAAACGCUAUCAUAAAACAUCAAAGUUAGUAUAGAAAUAUAACACAUAAUAUUUGUUUUAUCCAAGCAAAUAAAGCAUACAUCUAAGCACCCAAGAAUCACAUCAAGUAUGGAUAUAGUCAUCAAUAGCAUACGUGUCCAUAGAACUAUCGAAAGUAAAUGUGGAGGAGCGUAUCUGGACAACAUAGAUAACUUAUAAUGUGCUUCCACAAGACAUGGGGGUUAGAUAAAAGUUAUAAUAAUAAUUAGUAAAUGAAAGAAUUCUAGCAUGUUUGGUAUCUAAAUAACAUAGCAAAAAUGAACAAGAGUACACGAAAACAUCAAUUAUCACACGAGUCAUAUUGGCUAGUAUUUAAUCAAUAAACCAACAAUAAAUGACUAUAAACAUAUAAAAUGACAUAUUCAAAGAGACCCAAACAUAAAGAGCCUAGAACACAAGCUUACACUAAAUUUAGAAAACUAAAACAUGGAAUUUUAAAAGCAUAAAUUAGCAAACAAAUUGAUGGAAACUAAAUUUAGAUAACUUAAGAAUAUUUUUCUUAUCCUUCAAUUUAAAUCAGUAAGCCAACAAUAAAAAAUUAUAGAAACAUGGAAUAUCAAGAUCAAUGGGAUACCUAAACUAUAAUUUUUAAAAGAAAAUAAACUAAGCAUAAUAUCUACAAAGCAACUAAACUAACAUUUUUUUAAAAAUAAAUUAAACAUGACAUUAAUGGAGUAACCAAACUAAAUUAAAGUAAACUAAAAACAUUUAUGAAUUUUCAAACAUGGAAUCAGCUUUCUUAGUAAAUUAAAAUUAUUAAAAUAAAAUCUAAGCUUAAAAAUGAAUUAAAUACUAACUAAAGCAAAUCUAAAACCAAAUAUUUAACACAUAGGAUCAAUUAUAUUAACAAACUAAAAUUUUAUAAGAACACUUAAACCUAAAGUUGAAUUAAAAACUAACCAAUUUUUAAAACUAGAUCUUUAACCCAUAGGAUCAAUUAUAUUAACAAAUAAAUAAUAAAUAAUAAAUAAAUAAAACUCAAACCUAAAGAUGAACUAGAAAUGUACCAAAGUAAAUUCAAAACAAGAUCUUUAACACAUUAGAUCAAUUAUAUUGACUAACUAAAAAAAAAAAAAAAAAACACUCAAACCUGAAACGAUGUAUUAGAAACUAACCAAAGCAAAUUUAAAAUAGAGUCUUUAACACAUAGGAUCAAUUAUAAUCACUAACUUAAAUUACAAUUUUUGAAACAUGAACUAAUUAGUGUUGGAUUAAUUAAACUAAUUAACUAAAAAAAACUAUAAACUAGAAUACGGUGAAUCAAGAAUUCAAAUCAACAAACAUAAAAUAUGGGUACAAUGAAAUGAAAAUCUAUUAAACUAAUAAGACGGAAAUAUGACAAACUCAUGAACCCACAUUUUGAUCAACUAGGAAAUAGAAAUUAAUAGACCUGUAGCAUGGAUACAAUGAAAUGAGAUCAGUUAAAUUUAUUUGCCGAAAUUCUAAAAAACACAUACACUCAAAUAAGAUCUAAAUCUAAGACCAAGCAAAACUCAAACUUUCUCAAUCUAAUGCAAUGAAUCAAAACUAAAAUUAAAUAGAAAUCAAACCAUUUUUUUUUUAUCUAAUAUAAUAAAUCAAAGCUAAAACUAAACAAAAUCGAAUUUUCUUAAUUUAAUAUGAUGAGUCAAAGCUAAAAUUGAACAAAGUUCAAACCUUUAUAUAAUGGAUCAAAGUUAAAUCUAAAUGAAAUCCAUACUUCCACAAUUUGAUAUAACAAAUCAAAAAUAAAACUAGAUAAAAAAAAAGUCAAAGCCUUUCAACUUGACAUAGUGAAUCCAAACUGAAACGAAACAAAAUUUUAACUUUUCCAAUGAAACCCAAUAUAGAAAAAAUUAGCUUACCUUCUUUAGAAUAUAUGUAUGGGCCAUAAAGAAGUCACCUUGGUGCAUGUGUUCCUCACUUUGACGCCAAUGGACGACUUUCUAUGGUAGCAAAUGGAGAUCCUUUUUGGUGGUAACUUGCGUGUGGAAACCUAUGGUACAACCAAUGUCAUCUUUUAUUGUGCGUGUGGACCAAUUUCUUCUCGAGAACUCAUGUGUGUUGUGCUCAAAAUAUGUUGCCUGUGAGAAUCUAUUGGUAUACCCCACAUAUGGUUUCCUUGAGAGAAUCUGUGGUUGUGUGUGGGCGUUUUCUUCAUGACAGCAUGUGGAUGUUCCCAUCUAUGGUAGAUUGGUUGUGAUGCUUUAGUGCAUGGUCUCCAUAGGAAUAGUGUGUUAUGGAAAUUUGGUUUUUUUAUUGGUGCAUGUUGUCUAGACUUUCCCAUAUGCGUGGACUGUGUGUUCAUGCUUUUCUUUUCGGAUGGUCGCCUGUGUUAAUGUGUGGCGGUGUCUACAAUGAAAGAUACAACCCUUUCUCUCCUUCUGCGUGAUAGAAAAGUCAAUCCCCCAUGGUGCGACUAUGUUCCCUCGUCCUUUUUGAAAAAUUUUGGUGUUUUCCCCCCAAAAAAUCCCCUCCAAAAAUCUAAUUAUAAAUGUCUGCUUUGGCCUAAUGUGUGUGCUACUUUUUUUUUCCUUCUUUUUAUGGUUGUGCGUGCUUUUCUUGAUACGUGGCUUAUUUCUUAAGGAUAUGAUUCGCUCCCAAUUGGUGUCUCAGCUGAUUCAUGUCCUUUCAAUGGUCCCUGACAGUGGUGCCAUUUGAUUCGUGUCCAGCUGGUGUCCCUUGAUUGUGGUCCUCAGAAGGGAGUAAUCAAUAAAAUUUAUAACCUAUUACACCAUGUAUUAGGAUAGCCUUAGCUAGCAUAGCAUAGUGGCUCUAGGGUCGUUUAUUGGGAUGAGUUUUCACUUCACAAUUGAUAUUAAUUCAAGAGCUGAAUUGGUGCCUUUUCAUUUCAAGGUUAGCUUUAAAAGAAAACAUAAUCUUUGGUGGAAAAAGGUUUGGUUUUAAACUAACCAAAAAUAGUAACUGAUUUUACUUACAAAGAAAAGUGUUCUUUGGAGUUUAGAUCACUAGGCUCAGGUUCCUCAUACAAAAAGGAGAGUUCCGAUCAUUUGUUUCUUUUCCUCGCAUUAGAGAAUUAACAUAUAGUUAAUUCUCUAACCGGUGCGGUACAUAUGCUUCCCAUUAAUGGGUUCAAACACUAAAUACCUCUCACUGAUGCACCUUGCAAUGGCUCGUGCCUCUCACCUAGCAUUUAUCAUUCAAGGUGAUCUUUAACCUUGGAUUACCCAUCAAAAGCUCGCAAGAGAUAACUAAAGGAUGUCUCCUUAGAGUCCAAAAGCUUACCAAGUGUUGGUUAUUCUAGAAAAUCCUACCUUCAAACCACCUCCCAAAGGCUCGCAAGAGAUAAACAAGUGCAUCUCAAUGGAUGAAGAUCACUUGCCUUACCAAGUUUUGGCCCAGAUGAUUUAAUGACAUUUUAAGUUAACUAAAAAGAUAAAAACCAUUAACGGGUCACACUUUCUCUUCAUUAAAAACUAAAACAACAAAACUUCCAAUUUAUGCAUGAGGAAACUUACCUGGCUUUCUUCACUUCAAGAGAUGAAGAGCCUAGCCACUCAUCAUUUGAGGAAAAAUCCUCAGAGUUUGAUUUGCUAGAAAUAAAAAUAAUGAGAAAACAAAAAUAUAUAUAUGAAAAACAGAGCAAGUUCUCUGUAAUAUAUUUUUCUUCCUUAUACAAAAGGUUGUCUCUAAGAACAAGUUCCCGAGAUCUAUCUGAUUGUAAAUAAAAUUACAACUAUAUAUAAGAGGUUAUUCACCCCUUUGUUCUUUCUUAAAGACUAAGGAAUCCUAUGAUAGGUGGGUUACAAGGAGAGUUUGGGGAUUUAGACAUCAAAUAUCUAAAGCAAAAUAUCUCAAGAUGUUAGUCGGAAAUAUCAGGAAGCUUCAGGAGAACACCGCGACACUGUAUACUGAGAGAAAAACUCUCCGGGUAAGCUCUAUCAAAGGAUCCAGACAUGUCUGACUGGGAAAGUUGAAACGUCCUUCUCUCCCAUCCGGAUGUGAGAUAUCCGGAGAAAGUGAAAUGUCGGUCGGACAGAAUUCUUUCCCCGGGUGGAAUGAGUUGUGUUGCGCGUCGCAAGGGGGACCGUCUGCGUGUACAAGUUGUAGGGACCCCUCUCCCGGAUGACACCGAGCGCGUAAGGCUAUCCGGAUCAACUCCAUUCGGAUUCCCCAAGAGGACAUGUGGCGUGCUCCCCUAUCAGGACUCCCUUAGGGAGAAGCACACGACACUCGUGAACAUCAUACCCGGACGAUAGCAUGUCCUAUCCGGAUGUGUUGUCCGGAUCAUUGACUAAAGUGAGCAAGCCUUGCUACGUCAUUCGGACAGCUUGCCACAUACCAUGUUCCGUCGCCAUCUGAUGGUGUGUCCGAACGCCUUGUCCGGACAUCUUUUGCUCCUUGCAUUCCGGAUUUGCUUAUGACAAAGGACUUCAAAGCUUCGGUUCUUCAUGUUUCUGAGCUUUCCAUUGCUUUGCCAUGGAUUCCAAAGAACUCUCCUUAAUCACGGAUUGCUUUGGUGAUCAAAAAGUUAUCAAAACACAAAAACUUAACAUAGUUUGAUUAGAAUUGAUUGCAAGGGUUCUUAAUAUGUUAAUUGGGUUAAAAGGUGAUAACUACUACUCAAAAGUGUUUAUAAGAAUUAAUUACAAGCUAUGAAAUAACACUUUUUGAGUAGUAAUCAGGAUACAUCCUAGUUUUUCAUGGAAUUGAUAGUGGGUUGUUGUGCAUGAAUGCCACCAUUUCAACUAUGCUGUUGUUAUUUUUAAAAAAAAUAUGGAUUAUGCGCGAGUGGCAAUUCUCCACUAUGGAAAGUGGAUUGCUCCUUCAACCCAUGCAUGGCUACGUAUUCCUAUGUCUUUCUACUUGUGUUUGAUCCUCCAAAAAAAAUUUCGGUUUAGUGCUAGUAGAUUUUAAGUGGUGGAUCCCCAUUUUUUGAAAAUGAAGUGGCAGCCUCCCAUUUCAAGACAAAAUGGUAGCCUGCCUUUAAUCUUUGGAGAAAAAUCUGUGCAUGACCUUUUUUUUUCCCAAAAAAUCCGUGCAUGGUGUCCUUUAAUAUUUGGAGAAAAAUCUAUGUUGGAUCUUUUCUUUUCUAGAAACAUUUGUGUGGUCUUUUUUGUUAGCCCAAGGGUUCUUCUAAUCAAGUUUUGAUGAUAACAAACCAUGGUUAAGUGACUAAUUGGUUUAAUGAUUAAGAAUCUCAAACAUAAAAUCGAAAAUUCAUCAAAGGACCAAAUGGAUACAAGAUCGAGACGCUUGGAAGACUUGUAAUCAUAGGAAACUAAUGUAAGAUGAAUGCAUGAGUGCACUUAGGAUUUUCACACGUUUCAUGCAACUUAGAAAACCCAGUUUAUUCUUUAAAACUUCAUCCCAGUUUAUUCUUUUUAUGGUUGUGUGUGCUUUCCUUGAUACGUGGCUUAUUUAUUAAGGAUACAUCCCAGUUUUUCAUGGAAUUGACAGUGGGUUGUUGUGUGUGAAUGCCACCAUUUCAACUGUGCUGUUGUUAUUUAAAAAAAAAAAAAAUGGAUUGUGCGCGAGUGGCAAUUCUCCACUAUGGAAAGUGGAUUGCUCCUUCAACCCAUGCAUGGCUACGUAUUCCUAUGUCUUUCUGCUUGUGUGUGAUCCUCCAAAAAAAAUUUUGGUUUAGUGCUAGUAGAUUUUAAGUGGUGGAUCCCCUUUUUUUGAAAACUAAGUGGCAGCCUCCCAUUUCAAAACGAAGUGGUAGCCUGCCUUUAGUCUUUGGAGAAAAAUCUGUGCAUGACUUUUUUUUUCCCAAAAAAUCCAUGCAUGGUGUCCUUUAAUAUUUGGAGAAAAAUCUAUGUGGGAUCUUUUAUUUUCUAGAAAAAUUUGUGUGGUCUUUUUUGUUAGCCCAAGGGUUCUCCUAAUCAGGUUUUGAUGAUAACAAAUCAUGGUUAAGUGACUAAUUGGUUUAAUGAUUAAGAAUCUCAAACAUAAACUCGAAAAUUCAUCAAAUGACCAAAUGGAUACAAGAUCGAGACGCUUGGAAGACUUGUGAUCAUAGGAAACUAAUGUAAGAUGAAUGCAUGAGUGCACUUAGGAUUUUCACACGUUUCAUGCAAUUUAGAAAACCCAGUUUAUUCUUUAAAACUUCAAUUUCAUUAAAACCCGAGUUUUUAACUAAUGUACCUUAGGCAAAAUGUUUUAUAAUUGGCUUAAUAAUUCACCUAAAUACAUUUUCUAAGUGUUAGAAAAGAAAGGAAUUAAAAAAAGGUUUUCGGGGCAAAAAAGGCUCAACCGGUCGAGGCUAUGGUCAACCGGCUCAACCGGUUGAGGAACCAAUCGAUCGGUUGUGCUUGUCCGAUCGAAGACCAAUCGAGGGAUGCCAAAAAAUUUCUCUCUCUCCUAGUGGCCUUCUCUUCCCGGUCGAGGUUCGGUCUAGGCAACGGUAACAUGUCAAGCAUUAAAUGCUCCGACGACUAGUGAAUCGGUCGACCCCUAGCCCGAUCGGACGAGGUUGCCUUUUGCUGUUUUUGACUCCCGAGCUUAGAAACCUAUAAAUUGAGAGCUCCACUUCAUUUAUUGAUAAAAGAGAACACUUGCAUUCAAUAGUCUACCUACCUUUUCUUGAUCAAAAAGCUCUCAUUUCCUUCAUAGUGCAUUAAAUCAUCACUUGCAUAUCCUUUAGUGCACUAUUGUGUGUCAUCCUAGCUUUGUUUUGUAUUUGAGCUAUCCUUAAGCUAGGUUGAGGGAUUAUUUCUUAUAAAAAUCUGAGUGUUAAAGCCUUCAAGAGAUUUGAAUCUUGAAGAGAUUGUGUAAGAGCCCAUUGGAGCCGGAGUCCAAGUGUAAGAAGAUUGGAAGCUUGGUUGAAGCUUCAAGUUAGUGGAACCCUCACUCGGUUAGGAGGUUGAGGAGAGUGGACGUAGGUAAGGAAGUGUCGAACCAUUAUAAACCCGAGUUUGAAUUCUCUAACUCUAUCUCUUUAUUUUGCUUAUAUUGUGUUUGAAUUUGUUGUGAUUGAAAAGAUUUUAAAAACCUAAUUCACCCUCCCCCCUUUUGGGUUUUUUUUUCUUAAUUAAGCAUAACCUUUGUUUUCUAAUUUUCUUUUUAGGAAAAUCCAUGCGUGGUAUGUCCAAACUCUCCAAGUGGCAGUCUGCCUUCUUCUAAAAAAUUUGUUUCUAUUUCUUUAUUCGACUACCUUCCAUGUCUUCCUAAUGAGUGCUUGUGCUCAAUGGUCAAUCCCUGGUGGUUGCCUCCUUUUCCCAUAUAUACGUGUUGCAAAAUCAACAUCCCACUAUAUGUGGGUUGCCUCUAUGGCAAGUUCACAUUUCCCACAUGAAACCUAUGAGUUUCCACCAAAAAUUGCCAUGAAAAAGUCUUUAUAUGCAUCUCAUGCAAUAAAAAGUCAAGCCAAUACUCAUCUUAUCUCGAAAAAUAAGUAACCAAAAUCAAGAUCAUGCCUAAGUGAACUAUGCCAAAAGAAGUGUCCAAGUGACCUAUUAUGAAAAAAGUGCCUAAGUGACCUAAGGUGAAUGUGUGUAAGCUGGAAGGUGUCUAGGAUGUUUAGGACAAUGCCUAAGCCUAAAAUAGGGUUGCCAAGGGUCACAAUGGGGUUAGAUAAAUCUCUCAAUCAGAGUCUCCAAGGUGGCUCAUAAAAGAUAAGCUACACGAGUAAUGAUGGGCCACCAGGGAAUUAUUGUAAAGCACCAAACGAACACAUAAUAGGACAUGUGUUAGAAUGAAAAAAUGGAGGGUUUACAAGUGGUCUCAUGGAUGAGCUUGAUAAUUUAAAUGACUCACAUAAUGAACGUAUGUGAUGUUUCUCUCCAAUAACAAGCAAAACAUCACUAGCAAUAUGAUGAAUGUCUCCUAAAUCACUUGAAGUAGUCCUAGCAAAUCAAUUAGAAAAAUCACACAUAUUGCUCUAAUGUAAUAUUAUAUACAUCUGUCAAUGAAUGGGAGAACUAAUGACACAACCAUCAUGUUGAUAUCUCGAACCCUCUAAUCUCAUAUGUAGGUGGGAUCACACUUAGAAACUCAUAACACAGUAAUGACCAAUCUAAGUCAAAAUGUGUUGGUGAUCGGAGGCCCAUGAAUAUGAAGUUCUAGGAUGAUAAUGACAUCUUAUAAAGUAAUGAUCAUCUCCUUAAUAGAUAGGUGAAAUGUGUGUGUCUUAGGACACCAUCUCUCAACAAGACUUGUGAUCAAUCCCCAGUCUAGUGUAACAUGCCUAUUAUGACAUCCAUCGUAAAAUCUAGACUAGAUAAUAUAAGGACAAAUGUGAGGGUUCAUCUCCCUUUCCCACAUAAAUUUAAAAAAUUAUUAUUGACAAGUUAAGACCAAACUAAGUUGCAAAAUAUAAAUAAGUCCAUUAGAUAACAAAUUUAUGUUUUCUCAUUUUCUCAUUUUUAAAGAGAUAUUAUGUGCUUCCAUGUACAUACAUGCUAAAGUCAAUUAUACGAGACUUAUAUCCAUCUUGUAGAACCAAAUCGAACCUAUCUAAUAGAUCCAGAUUAGAAGUAUGUCCUCUAUACUCCAUAUUUAUAACACAUUUAUAAAGAUAAAUGCUAAAAAAAUGUUAAAGAUAUAAAUUUAAUGAACCAUACUUUAUGAUUUUAAUUCUCAAUUAUUGUUCAUAUUUAUAAGAGAAAAGUUAAAAAAAUUGAUAGAGUUUUCCCUCUAUCAUGGACAUUAUCCCAAAUAAAAAUAAAUUGAUUAUGCAAAUUACAUUAAUAUUUGUAACCAAAUGAUCAAUAACUAUCUUGUAUCAAUUUAGUAAAUAAAUUUAAGUAUAUCUUUUCAUUUAUGACUAACAAAUAACUCAUACUUGUCCAAUAAAAGCCACACCUAAUUUCUAAAAUUUUGUCUUCACCUCAAGUGAGUGUUACAUUGAGAAAGAAAAAAUAUGAAAGAAAAAAUGAACACCUUUUUCUUUUAAUAAAAAAAGGCCAUAACGAAACAUUAAAUCUCACUGUUACACCUAUCUUCAAUGGAAACAUGAGGAUGUGAAUGGUGGCGGUGAUAUUCUUUGCUUGAAGCUCAUAAACAAAUAUUCCUUACUAAGCCUAUGCCAUUUAGUAUUUCAAUAGUGGACCCCCCCCCCCCCCCCCCCCCCCUCCUUGCAUUUCAGAUUUAGCAAACUUAGAACCAAAUAACAAAGUGCAUUUGAACCCAUAAAGAAGUAAUGAGACUCUCCUAUAUUGGCAAUAGAAGAAAUUUUUGGAGGUAUAGGAGAUUCACGGAUGAAGAAGUUGGGCCCCAAUUGAGAUAAGACCCAAGAAAAGAUGGGGUAGAGAGGGAUGGUUGGAAAUUGUAAAGUAAGAUUUUCAAAAUGUAGUUGAUGACUAAGAUUUUGACAAUUUAAAAAAGGUUUAAAAAUGUAGUUAGCAAUCGGGGUUUUGUAACAUUUAAAAAAUAAAAUAAAAUCUCAGGCCACAUGGUAGCCCAUGUGAUUCAGAAGCUUGAGAAUUAUUUUAUAAGAAGACUUAAUUUGUGAUUUUUUUAUAACUAUAUUAUUUUUUUUCUUAACACACGAAAAAAAUUAUGAAAUAAGACAAUUUUCCUAAGAAAGCAUGUAAGUGACUCUUGGUUAUUUUAUUUAACUUCUUCUAGUUUGGAGAGGAUUAAUACCUUUGCUUUUACUCACUUGCUUGGAUAUGUACACGUUGUUCAUGUCACUUUUCAUUUAAUUUUCUGAUUAAGGGAAUUGGAACCGUACGUAACUGUCUUUAUUCCCUCUGAAACUUGGACUUGGAGUUGGACUUUCAAUCUCAUCAGUCGUGUUUCCAUAAAAAAGAAGAUGGAUUAACCAAUUUUCCUAUGCCUACUAAUCAUACACAAAACUCCACUUCCAAAUAAAAAGGAAUGGGAUAUCACUUGUUAAUAGUGGCUAAAGACUAUUAAUAACCAUGCAAAGAAAUGUCACAUUUUUUGUUCUACGCAAAUUUUAUUCAUCAACUACUAGAACCAUUUCAUACAAUAGUAGCUUUUCGAUCCUUUGAUAAAUGGACACUUGAUGUGAUAACACCAACUACACCUAUAUAUUCAAGCAAUCAUGCGUAUAUAAUAGUGGAUAUGGAUUACUUCUCUAAAUGGGCAAAAGUUUUGUCAUUCAAGGAAAGUGAACGAGGAAACACAAGUUUACUUUCAUCGGAACUAAUAUUAUAUAUUGAUAUGACUUCCCAUUAUUACUUACGAUGGAAUAUGCUUCCAUAAAAUGGCCUAGAUGAACAAACUAUCCAAGAAGUUUGGGAUCAAAUAAUAUAUAUAUAGUUCAUGUGUGAUUCUUUGGUUGACAACCUUGUUAAGGGGUGAGUGAAGCACUUUGGGCAUACCACAUACUACAUGCUAGACUUCCACCCAAGCUACCCUAUAUUCCUUAUGAACAAAGUAGAAGUUGUCAUCUCUCUUGAAUACCAAAUCCUUUCACCUAAUAAUGCUAUCUAAAAAGGUCUUAAAAAGGAUAAAAAUGCGCAUAUUUGAAUUUUUGAAUUAGGAGUGCUACUUAAAAAGAAGCUAGAUAUACAAUAAUAGAAUGUUAUCAAGCAUAUCUCUUCAAAGUUUUUGACCAAAAAAUAUAUGAUUUCUCAUUUUAGGUAGGAGACUUAGUACUCACUAUUCAAAAACCAAUUAUCAUUACUCAUAAAAACUAAUAGAAAGUUUGGGCCAAAGUAGGAUGGACCUUAUAUUAUGCAACAAUUAUGCCUAUAAAAUUGUUGCAAAAGAGGUUUUAGAAUCAAAUCAAUGAAUGAAAAAUUAUUAAAGCAUUACUAUGCUUGAAGGCUAGUCAUUUUCCCUUAAAGUGCAAUAUUAAGUUGCAUAGUACUAUGUGGAUCCGCAUUUUUCACAUGCGUUCCCACUCAUUGUCGAGACUCACUUUUUAGAAGUGAAAAAUUAGUUUUAUUAAAGUCGAAGUUGCCACUGGGGAUUUGAACCCUAACAAAAGGUUCAAUUUAAGGAUAAAAAUAUCGAUAAUCACAUAUAUAUAUAUUGGUACUUUGAUUUUAUGAAUAUAUUGAAGAAAUAUGGACAAAUAUUUUGACACAAAAUAUGUACAAAAUAAAAAUUAUAUAAAAAGUAAAAAUAAAUAUUUUAAAAUUAUUUUUUUAAAUAUAUAUAUAUAUAAUUUGACAUAUUUGAUAAUAAUAUAUAAGGGUCUCCAAAAAGCCCGUGGCCCGCUUUAGGCCCGGUCCGACCCGACAGGCUAAAGCCCGGCCCAAGCCCGCCGGGCCCAAGCUCGGCCCGAGCCCGUUUAUGGGUGGGCCGGGCCGCGAGCCCGUAGGCCUGCUCCUUUAAAAAAAAACUACAAAAAUAAAAAGUAUUAAAAAAAAUAUUCAUUUCAAAAUUUUAUUCAUUGAAUGUAUAAUUACAUUUGAAAAUGUGGGAAAAGUUUACAUCACUACAAAAUAAAUACAUCCCAACUAGGUUGGCACCUAUUUAUUUGUCAAUCAUCUGUAUUUUUCAACCACAAAAAAUAAAAAUAAAAAUAUAAUAUACAUUUAGUCAUUAUUUUCUGGCGGUGAUGGCGAACUAUCAUGCAUCCAUGAAGAUCUUGAUAAUUUUAAAGAUUCCAUAUCGGUAAGCAUCUUUGUUUCUCGAAUGGAAUCAUACAUCCUUUUAUCUGCUAUUUCCCAAUCUUUCACACAUAUCCCUGCUUUAAUAACAUCUGACGCUAAGUUGCAUCGUUUUUUACUAACUACUCUUCCACCUGCACUAAAAGCAGCUUCUGAUGCAACUGUACUCACAGGAACUGUUAGUACAUCACGAGCAAUUAUAGAAAGCACAGGAUAUUUGUGUUGAUGUGAUUUCCACCAUAUUAAAAUAUUAAAAUCUUCUUGAUCUUCAAAUGAAAUUAUAUCAGUAUUAAGAUAUUUAUCUAAAUCAGAUGUAUUAUUUGGAGAAUUAUUUGUUGUCUUUUUUCGACUUUUCAACAUUUCUAGAGCUCCUUUAUAAAAAGAUGAGGAGUUUGUAGAUGUAGGUGGUAAUUUAAUAGUAUUAAUAUCAUUACCAUAUUUUUCUUUAUAAUAGUUAUAUAAAUUAUAUAAUAAUGAAUUUAUUUCAUUUUUAAUUUCUUCAAUUUUUAUUUGGUCAUUAAAAUAAAUAAUUGUUAACCAUUCAUCCAAAGCUUCAAAUUUCAAUCUAGGGUCCACAAUUAAAGCAAUAUAAAAAAUUAAAGGUAUUUCUCCCCAAUAUUUUCUAAAUUUUUAUAUCAUUACAAAUAUUGUAUCAUUAAAUAUUUCAAAACUUAAAUAUUUUUGAAGUACAAUAAAAAUAUUAGUUAUUUGCGUAAUAACUCGAUUUGAAGUUGGAUAAUAUACACCACAAAAAAUGUUUGUUGAAGUAUCAAAAAUUUCAAAAAGAUCUCUUAAAACAUCCGCAAUAUGCCAAUCAUAAUCAUUUAAUGCAUAAAUAUCUGCUUCAUAAUCAUUGUUAAUUAAUUGUAUUUCAUAUAAUUCGACUACUUUUCUAUAUUUUGUAAUAUUUUCUAAAAGUUUAUAUGUGGAAUUCCAUCUAAUAGCCAUAUCCAAAUUUAUAUUUUUUCUUUUCAUAUUUAACAUUUUGCAACAAUCAAAAAAUAAUUCAUGUUUUGCUUGAAAACUAUUAAUACUAUAUGCAAUGCCUCUAAUUUUUUUCCAAUGUACUAUCAACAUUUUUUAAUCCAUCCUUUACAAUUAAAUUUAAAAUAUGUGCACAACAACGCACAUGAAAUAUUUUAGCAUGAUCUUCUUUUACUUGCCAAUAUCGUUUUAGUCUAUGUAUUGCUGCAUCAUUAUUAGCAGCAUUAUCUAAUGUUAUUGUCAAUAUUUUAUCACGAAUGCCUAAAUCUAUAAUUUCAUCAUUUAUUAAAGAUGCUAUAUUUUUACCACUAUGUGGAGUAUUUAUUAAUUUAAAUAAAAUUAUUCUUUUAUUUAAUUUCCAUUCAUUAUCAAUGUAGUGAACAAUUAUAUAUAAAAAACCAGUAUGAGUUAAAGAUGUCCAAAUGUCAGAUGUUAAACGAAUAUUUCCUUCAAAAUUUGCAAAAUUUUUUUUUAAAAUUUCUUUUUGUGUAUAAAUUUUUUUCAUAAUAUCUCUUUUAACUGUAUUUCCAGAUCAACCUUUAAAUUGAGGAUUAAUACCUCGUUGAAUUGUUCUUGCAAAAUCAUGAGUUUCCAUCAUGUUGAAAGGUUGUUCUGCUCUUAUUAUAUAAUCAAUCAUUUCUUCACAACAGUUAGAUUCAUCAUAAGAAAAUGUUUUUAAAUUUCCACUUUCAUUUUUACUUAAUUGCAUAUAAUUUCUAAUAUCUACAUUAUUUUUAGUUUUACAAUUUUCAUGAUGUCUUUUUAAAUGACUUGUAUCUGCAUUUGAGCCACCAGUAAGAAAUUUAUUACAAAUUUUACAUUUUGCUUUUAUUUUUUUUUUAUUAUUUUCUAAAAUUAUUUCUAUUCUAUCAAAAAAAUUCCAUAUAUUUAAAGUAAAUUUUUUGUUUGAUGAUAUUUCAUCACAUGGACUAGACGAAGAAGCACUUGUCAUAUUAUAAUUAUUGAUAAAAUAUUAUGCCAAAAAUAAUAAAGUAAUAAAUAUAAAAAAAAAUGUAACAAAAAAAAUAAAGUAGUAGGGGUGAAGUAUGUUACUCAAUUAGAGAACCUAUGCAGAAAUUCCUAGCAAAUUUGAACUCUUGGAGCCACCAAUGCUUGUUUUGCACCAUCAACAAUAUUGUAUAAUUUGAGGGAAAAAUAAAAGAAUUUAAAAUAUUGUAGAAUGUGAGAGAAAUAGAGAGAAUUUGAUGAAAAAAUGAAAAGGAAGAAAAUGUAUUUAUAGGAAGGUUAAAAAUAAUAAUAAUAAUAAUAAUAAUAAUAAUAAUAAUAAUAAUAAUAAUAAUAAUAAUAAUAAUUGGCCAUGUGACCGUUGGAGGCUUAGCUCCAACGGUCACAUGGGCUGGAGCUAGGCUCCAACAGUCACAUGACCGUUGGAGCCUUUAAUUUUUUUUUUUAAAAUAAUAUACUUUAUUUUUAUAUAUAUAUAACUAACUCAAUUAAUAAACAUAAAAAGAAUAUAGUUCAGUUGGUUAGAACCUUGAAGUUUAAACAUGAGGGGAGGGGUUUGAAUCCCUCCCUCUCCCUUAGGGGCUUUUUUAAAAGCCAUUUUGGCUUAUUUCAAAAAGCCUGUCGGCCCGACCCGCCCUGCAGCCCGCGGGCCUAGCAUUUUAGCAUGGCCUGGUCUGUUGACUAGUCAAAUGGCUCAUAGGCUCGGCCCGAACUGGGCCGCGGGCCUCUUAUUUACGGACCGGCCCGACCCGGCCCGCCCGUUGGAGACCCUUGAUAAUAUCUUCUAUAUUAAGUUACAUUAUAGUUUAUUUUACAAUAUUAUUAUGAUAAUAUGUCUAAUUUUAAAAUAUAUUUAAUAUUAAAAUUAUGAUCUAUUUUAAUUUAAAUGUAUUCAAUGAUAUCAAAUAAAUAAUAAUAUAUGUAUAAUUCUUUUAUUAUUUAUAUUUAUUAUUUUUAAUAAAUAUAUAGAUUAUAUAAAAAAGACCGGAUAUAUCUUUUCAAAUUUUGUAUCGCUCUCCAAGGAUAUUAGAUGUAUGGGAAUUUGUAUUGCUAUCUACGGAUACGUUGAUAUAUGGGUGAUUUAUCAGGAUAAUUAGAAAUUCUAAUUAUGUAAGCAGGUACGGAGUUCUGUGUCGGUGCGAUCUUGUCGACAACAGCUCCAAAUUGUGCAUCUUGCUCAUAGAGAGUAGCGGAAUGCACCAAUCGUAGGCUCAGAGUACCACUGAGUCGUCUGGCAGAGACCCAACUGAAGGUGCCUGUGUUGUUCCUGAUCUGAUCAGGCUUCAAACUACAAGGUGGAAUACUGGUUCCCCUAUAUCAGAAGCUGGAGAUACCCACCCCAUAUGCUCGUCUGGAUGUGCUCCUACCCUUUGAAGCCUUCUUCCGAGUCAAGUCCGAAUUGAUAAGGCUAGUGAGUUCCCAACCAACUGUACUCAGCAUGCUGCCAGGUGGAGACCCUCCAUAUUUGAUGGCUUCCUAAUAUUAAAAUGCUGACCACUGGUCUUCAUGUUCCACAGGCUUAAUUGUGUCCUUUGCUGAAAGAAUGGAUAGUGAUCCAUUUUAACACAUGAUUCACGCCGUCUUUGCCAUUCUUCAUGGUCUAGCCCUUUUAUAUAUAUGCUUCCUGAACUGUUGCUAUUAAUAAAAUGUGGUAUCUAUCCCGUACACCUUCCUGAUGGCCAGCGAAUGCAGAAGCUACAGAAACGGUUCCAUCUUUUGCUUCCGCCACUUUGGCAUCCUCCAUGAUGAGAUCGAAGGUGAAUAAUCAUAUUCUGGGGAUUUAUGUCCUGGAUAUUCUCAGUAAUGCCCAAUUUCCUGGUGCCGGCCUCAUUUCCAUGGGAACUGAUGGAUAACUUAAGGCUUCUACCAUCUGCGUGGUUCGCUUCUAACACAGGAAACUUCACGGCUAAAAGCAAGAUACCAAGAACAUCAAGGCUGUGACAAAAAUUAGUAUUUUUAACUUGUAGGAAUUUGAAAGGCAACCAACCAUCUAGCUCUGUUCUUAAAGCUCCCAUAGGAGGAUCAGAGGCUGGAUUGCUCAAGAUGAACUCAUCCAUUGUUGCACUUAAAAAGAAUUGGCAUGAAUUGUGGCCGCUCUAAUAGGUUCCCUAAACCAUCAUCCAAGUGGGCUUGCGGAAGGUAGCGAGUUUAAAACACCUAGGGCGAUGAACAGUGGACUGUGAUGCUCACAAAAGAGAAAAGGAAGAAUUCAAUAAUUCCUAAGAAUCCAUUUGCCUGUCAUCCAAAUUUUUAUAUUCUCUUCAGUCUGACGCGUUAUGCCAUAUAUUAAAAAUAGCGGCUUCUUCCAAGCCGAGACAGACUGUGCAAAGUUCGCAAGGCCAAUCAUCACCAUAAUCUGAAGUUGGCCUCCUCAAUCGCAGCUUGUAUCCGAAUGCUCACUUCACGGGAUGGAUUGUAAUGAAAACUAAUCUCAGUCCCAGCUAUGGCAGCAUCCUCACUUGACAGCAUUUUCUGCAUAUUCUAGAACAAAGCAAUAAACCCUCAAAGGCUCCUUCGGAUCAGAGUUAGAAGACUGUCCCUCAGGAACGUGAACACUAUGGUGGUUCUGAUAAGCAGUGAUAUUGCAUUAGAGCCUUUUGGAACAAGAGGAUCUUUUCAGGUGGAAACUGUAAACUGCUUCAUGUUGGGCUGCAACCUUUUCUUCAAGCAAUACUUUCUUUCUGUAUCACGACUUAUGUUGCUUCCGGAGCCAUCCCGUGUGGACUGCCCUUCAGUGAAAGAAUAUGUGUGUUGACAUGUUGGAUUGUAAUCUUUGUUCCACUCUAAUGGCUUUUGGUCCUCCUCUUUCUCUUUAUGACAGAGAACCAUUUAGUGAUCCAUCUCUAUAUUGUAGCAUUGCUGGUGCUUUGCAAUACUACACUCUCACCAAGCAUAACAUCUAUUUUUCCGUGACCAAAGUAUGUCGGUUUAUGCAUGCGCAAACUCUUAUUCAUUGGCAAGUUGUCAAGCGUAUCUCAUGAUUUCCCAAAGCCACAAGUUCUUAUGGUCUUUCUGUUCAAGCUUACAAUGAUCUAUCUUUUCUUGGUUAUACUGAUGUCGAUUGGGCUAGUUGCCCUGAUAACAAGCACAAUACUAGUGGGUACAACACUUUUCCUGGUCCUAAUCUCAUUUCAUGGGCAUUUUCAAAGCAGAAGGUUGUGUCUCACUCCAAUAACGAAUCUGAAUAUAGGGGACUCACUAAUUAAUGUUGUUGCCAAGGUCACUUGGAUUGAAUCUGUCUUACGUGAGUUGCGUGUUUCUCUACCCCAACCACCAAUUUUGUUGUGUGACAACAUUAGUGCUACACACUUGGACAAACCAUGUUGAAAUACACUAUCAUUUUAUCCAUGAAAGGCUUAUGCAUCACACACUCAAAAUUCAAUACACCUCUUCUAUAGACCAACUAGUCAAUGCUAUGACCAAAGCUCUUCCUUCAUCUCACUUGUACAAUCUUCAGUGCAAGCUGAUUGUUCUUCCCAAACCACUCAACUUGAGGGGAGAUGUUAAGCCAAUUUAAUAAAUUGAUUUCUUUUGGUUAAUUUGUUAGAAUCAUUUUUAUUAGAGGUUUGUUUGUACAAUUACAUCCAUUUAUCAGGAGAGUACACGUGUACAACUCCUCUUUUAAUCUCACCAUUGUAUAUAUAUGAUACACGACCUUACUCAGAAUUGCAUAACAUUUCCUCUGCUCAUUCCUUUUCUUCUUUGAAUUUUCCCUUACCUCACUGAUUUUGAUUUAUACCUGGUGUUUUCACCUUUGGUCUCUACCUUUCUAGCCAGUUUUCUAAUUAAUCCGUAUAUGGUAUACCUGUCAACUAAUGAGGAGAAAGAGAAAAGGGGAUUGCUGUUCCACCAGCUACAUAUAAUAAUUAAUUACAAUCAUGGUAAUGGAUCCUGAAAUCCAUCCUUUGUGGAUUUUGUACGGAAUAUUGUUGUUAUGUAUGUGGGCUCACUUAGAUGUAUAUUGCUAGCCUGUCUGGGAAAUGUGAUUGCAGGUCCAGAUUAUGAUGUUGAUAUUAGUGGGAUAAGCAAGAGAUGCAGUUAACACGUAUGUGAUGGACUUGAGUAACUUUUCCAUUUCAGUCCAUUUUUUAAGAUUAUGCUUAGUCUUAUUACAAGGAAAGACCAUAAGAAUCAUGAGUCAUUGGCAAGGUAAUAUCAUUCCCUCUUUACAGGCUUCUUCACCUUUUGGUUUUUUUAAUAUCCAUCAAGAUCUUUUAAUUGGAGGACAAUUACAAGUAUAUAUAUAUGUAUUAAAAGGGGAAAAUAUUAAAACAGGAAAUUUUAGGGAAAAUAUAAUAAUUAUUUCUUCCUUCUUUCCCAUAUAGAACUACACAAAAUAAAACUUUAAUAAUUUUUUCUUAUCUUUUUUAUUAUUAUUUUUUCUUAGAAACAUCCGUGGUCUCACAAGCUUGUAAUCCUAGAUUGUUAGGCUCCUUUAACAGUGCCCCAACAUCGUGGUCCAAUGACAAGCUUCCACGCCUUAAAAUCAGAAAAUGCCAUUAAACUUUAUCAGACAUUACAGUUCAAGACAAAGCUUUCAUUUGCUUAAUGUGAUAAUGAAAUUGUUAAUUUCAUUUCGUGGGCAUCUAAAUUUGGACGAGCAAGACCUCUGAAUUCCCUGUUUUUAUCACCAGCAGAGGAGAUAAAAUCUUAAUGGUGAGAAUCUCCACGUGAAAUUUAUGUGUACUGUCAACAUAUUUUUGUUUAUAUAGUCCAGUAGCUGCAGGAAGUCUAGAUUAUAUAGGUAGCAGUAGCACUAUUUAUAGCACUCGAUAUUCGCUGUAUGAAUACAUUAAACCUUGUUUUCAAUACGCAUCACAAGCAAGUACUAGAUACUACAAGGAGUGACAGUCGCAUCAACAUUUCUUGAUAAUAGCAGUGACUGAUUUAUACACAGAACAGUACUGUACACGUACCAGUCACCAGAGAUAGGAUCUUAUUCCUACAUACGACUCUUAUUGAUCGAAGUCACUCAGUUGGGGUAGCCUGGAGUUGGAGGUUUGUGUGGUGGCUUCUUCUUUGGAGGAGGCUUUAUCUUUGGAGGCAUCAUCUUUGGAGGCAUCUUGUGUGAGUCUUCUUCAGCAUUCUCUACAGGAGGAUGGCCAGGCUUAUGACCCUUAGGUGGUUUGCCAACUGGGAUUGGUGGCUUGUGUCCUGAGAGUGGCUCCUCUUCUUCGGGAGGUUUGCCAACUGACGUUGGUGGCCCGUGUCCUGGGGGUGGCUUGUGUUUUGGGGGUGGUUUCACUCCACCGGGAGGUUUACCAAUUGGUGUUGGUGGUUUGUGCUCAAUCGGUGGCCUCUCAACUGGGGGGCGCUUGGGGUAAUCAGCGAGUGAAGAAGUGGUGAGAACCACCACUCCAAGCAACAACACUAGCAAGUAUGUGGAAGACAUCUUUGAGUUUGGCUCAGAUGGUGUAGAACUAGAAUCCUGGGUGGCCUUUUAUAUUAGUUGGGCCCUAUGCCCGAACGACAAGUGUCAUGGUGACACAUAAAGUGAUGGGGUCGAUUUGGGCCUACCGGAUUUGAAAACUUGGACAAUUCGAGAAGCGUCUCCUGACUCCGGGUUGUAAAGUGAAAGAUUAGGUAUCGACCAUUGAAGUAUGAUCACAACUUUUGGCCUUUGGCUCUCUCUACUGCCGUAUAGCUUUUUUCCUUUGGAUAUUUUUCUUAGCUAGACACAAUUAUUGAGCAGUCUAAUCUCGAAAUGGGAUUAGUAUAGCUUUAAGCAAAUUUAUUAUAGUUAGUGGAGGACUUUUAAGAGUGCAGACGACAUUUAACACAUGCAUGCAGUAGUAUAGGGGACAUAACACUAUUCUUUUUCCAAAGAUUCACAUGAUUUUUAUAUUAUAGUAUUGGCACAUUGUAUGUAGCUGGUUUUGUGGUUAAAAUUCCAUAUGUAGACACUGGCGUUUCUCCAUUUCUCACAAUUGAUGUUUACCUCCACGAUUACUAGAUUAGAUAUACCAAACAAUAACACAUUGUAUAAUCUAUCCGCCCUUCAAAAUCUACUGUAUGAUGAAAUGUUUCAUGUGUGUGUGAAGUGUUAGAAAUGCACUAUAGGCAACAUCAUCUUCUUUUGUCUAGGCUUGGGCCUCAAAUUAUACUCCCAUGCCAUGAUAAAUUUUCAUGUGCAUUCUCUAAAGAAGAGUGUCUUGAAUGUGCCAAAUCAUUUUGAUUGAUUUUAUGAUGUUAAUUGCUCCGCAUAUGGAUGGGUAUGUGCUUUAUUUGCUUAUUCAAUCCACAAUUACCUUGAACUGAAGUCCUAUUGGAGCUCUAUUAUUUUAGCAACGUCCUGUCAAAUAGGCUGCUAACUUGGGGUGGUAUGGACCCAAUGAUCCAUCUUAAUCUUGGGUUGAUUUUGUCUGACUCUAUCUAUCUCAGAGAGAACCAGGAUCACCAGUGCUGGUCUGCUUAAAGAAGACUCAGUACUGGAUUAAUAUUGGUUUGGGUCAAUAGCUUAUAAUGCAUUGAAUGCAGAAUAAACAAGAUCAAUGAAACCCAAAACACACUGCCCACACAACUUCACUCUGGUGUCUGUUAUUCAUCAAUUCUAUUCCCACAUGAACUGGUUCAAGUUUAAGAAAAUGACAACGGAUCCACUGUAUUAACUUGGUUUUGCUUGGUUUUGAGCUAGUUGCCAAACCAGCCAUGAGUUUUACCUCUAAUGUCAAUGAACAAACCCCAAAUGAACAACUGCAACAGCUUAAAGAGAAGGAAUGGAGAUGAAAAUCCCUGUUUCUUCUCAUUCUGGGGACAAAUUAGAACAUAACUACAAAGGUUCUAUUAAUUGACUUACUCUACCAUGAAUUAUGGUUCUUUGGUUUUCCAAAUUUAAAUUGUACAUGAGAUUAUUUUUUUCCUUUAUAUAUAAACAUAUUAAGGUUUUCUUAUUUCGUGGGCAAAUGCGCUAAGGAUGAAAGUCAUUUCAUUUGGCUGCAACAGCAUCUUAUAAUCAACAUGCAUAAGCAGCAGUUUUAAUUGAUCGAUUGAACACCGACUCACAAGAAUAGAUAGAAUGGUACAAGACAGCUCUUAUUAAUUUAUACUCGUUACUCAUUUUAUGUAGCCCCAUUAAGAUGGCUGGCUGGACCACCGAGGUCUGGGGGUGGUGUUGCUUGUGUGAUGCAGCGGGCCGGGCAGACACUUCUCUAGUUGCUUCUAUUUGGAGUUAGAGGAUCAGUCUCUGCCAACCUUGAGGACUCUCUACCUCAGAGGGUCCAGGUGGUGGACUCUGGUGUCGGUAGCUUUGAACUCUCAGUAGACUAGUGUGUCUUAAUCAGUCACUGCCAGAGGCUGGCGUAGGCAGUGACGAUAAGGUGAGACAAAUUACCGAAUAGUCAAUAUCGACUGCACUUGACCAUUAUAGAUUUGUUCUGACAAAAGUGAGAAAAGGGAGAAAAUCGGAUGUUGACCUUUAUAGAAAAAGAUAAGAUUUACUGCAACACAGAGCACUGAUUUGUUACUUGGAAACCAAGUUAUGCUAUUAGCUAGCCUCCAUUAGCAGCAGGGUACCUUGCUGCCUGAUCCUAAUCUGAGUUCCCAAGGUUUCAAUCUUCGUUUGUUAACGCUUCAGGAUUUGGAUAUUUCAGCUUCGUUUCUCCAUUUAGCCAACGCUGCCUGGUUUGGAUUUCAAUCCUCAUCUGGAACAUUCUUUUUUCGGUCUGAUUCAGGAAGUGUUUGGUGAUAGUUGAUUAAAAUUAAACAGUACUAUCAUACAAAUAAAGCUGAUCUAAUUUUGGUGGGCAAUAUACCAACUCAUUUAUUCUUGAAAACACCAUGGGGAAUUGGAGGUCCAUCCGAAGUACUAUUUGAUGGGACUCACAAAAAGAACAGGUGCACAUUUAUGAGAUCCGUGGAAGAGAUAACUAUGACAGCUAUGCAUGUACAACAGAUUUAUGUCGAGUUCACCUCGUAGAUAUUUUGUUUUCAGUGUCGGUGGACCCCAAAAUGGAAAUCGGAAAUUAAGGUUAUAUUUAUUUUUUUAUUUAAUUUUAAAUAGAAUUUUAAUUUUUAAUAAUAUUAAGUAUUAAAUUAUUUUUUUAAGGGUAUUUUAUUUUUAUUAAGUAUUAAAAAGUAAAAAAAAUUAAUAUGUUGCUUUUUUAUUUUAAAAAAAUUAUAUAUUUUAAUUUUUUCUAUUUACUAAAAAGUUUAUAAUAAAUUAUAAAAAAAUAAAAAAAUAAAAAACUUAAAUUCUGAAAAUAAAUUAUUUUUAAUAAAAAAAUCCAAAAAAGCAAACACCACCUAAAUUUGAGAUGACUCAAAAUUUUAUAUUUUUUUUCACCUAAAUUAUAUUCAUAAAUUUAAAAUUAAAAAAUUAGGAAGUUGAAUUUUAUUUUGGAUAAUUGGAAACUACAAGAAAUCAAUAAAAAUAUUUGGAAAAAAAAGAAAAAGAAAAACUAUCUAUAUAUUCACCCCCUUCUAAGAAACAUAACUUUAGUUUUUAACUAUUUUUUAAAAUAAUUUUUGAAAAAUGUUAUAUAAUAUUUUAUAAAACAAAAAAUCUGUUUGACAAUUUGAUAUGUCUUUAACUUAUUUUUAAUAUUUAUAUAUAUAUAUUUUAAAAAUAAUUUUAUAUUUAGAACUUUAUCUUUAAUUAUUAUAUAUAUUUAUAUAAUUAUUUUUUUUAAAACAACUCUUAAAAAAUAAGUGAAAGUAAUUGAAAACAACUCAAAGAUAUUUGAUGAAAACACUCUAAUUUGUAUUUUUGAGAAUAAAAAAAUAAAUAAAUAAAUUUCUAGUUAUCAAAUGUAUUUUUUAAUUCUUUUAUUCUAAAAAAUAGAAAAUCGUUUUUGAAAAUAAUUAUUAAACAACAUUCUUAAAAAUUCACUCGUUACAAUCUAGAUUUAAUGCAAGAAUGAUUGAAGGAGUCCUCCAAUAGAACCCAAAGUUAUAAACAUGAACAAGAAGCCCUAGAAACACCAAAGAUCUCAUAUGGUAUAUAUAUGAGCUUGAUUGAGAACUGUUUUAAAUUCAGUUUUUUUUUUUUUUUUUUUUUUUUGUUUUCAAAGUCAAAACAAGUUUACUUUUAAUUUUUACUUCUUUUUUUUAAUUUUAUAAAUAACAGUUUUUUAAUAAUUUAUUUUGAAAACAUGAUUAUUUUUAAAACUUAUAAUGAAAAUAGGAAUUUUUUUUUUAAUAUCAUGGUUAUUUUCCCUUCUUUUAAGGAGGGCUAUUUUAAAAAUAAAUUUACAAAUAUGAAAAAUGAUUCAAACUAAAGCAGUACAAAUAAAAAACAUUUUUAAGAAAUAUUUAAAAAUAGAGAAAAUUAUUUGAGAACAUUUGAAGUCCUUAAAUAGACUUUUGUUUUAGAAAAGGCAAGAUAAUUAUUUUUGAAAAUUGUUUUCAUAAUGAUAUGCAAAAACCUACGUAAAAACCAUAAUUAUAAUCGGCCACAUAUCAAAUCUACUAAAUAUGAAAAGUAAGUACAUAAUUAUAUUUGACUUAGAUGCAAGGAGGAAAAUGUCGCGAUAUUAUCGCCGAAAUAUCGUGUGUCGAAGGGUAUCGACACGAUUUUUCUUGCAGAAAUAUCGGCCAGUCGAUUUUUCGGGAUAAAUCUCGAGAAAUCGGCAAUUUAUCGCGAUAUAUCGGCGAUUUUUCCUCGAUAUAUCUUCUGGUCAACGCGGGUCAACGGAGUCAACACGCUACAGUGAAAGUCAAAUGUGCUACAAUGUCCCCGCUACAAUCACCUCCCCAAACAAAUUGCCAAAUUGCUUCCGAGGGGAUUUGAACCAGCCUUCUUGCCAUUUGGGCUAACUCGCCCUUAUGAUAUAUAUUGCAUUAAACAUAUAUAUACUUAAAGUCCUUAUAUAAAGAAAAUGUUAAAAAAAUAUUUUAAAGAGCAAAUUAAUUAUAAUUAUUUUAUAAUUAAAAGCAAAAUUUUCUUUUAAUUAAUUACCAAAAAUAUAAAAAUUAUAUAAUUUUCUUCAUAAUGUUUUUAAUAUCAUUAAUAAUUAAUUAAAUAUUAAAAAAUUAUAUAUAUAUAUAUAUAUAUAUAUAUAUAUAUUAUAAUUUAUUUUAUAUUGUUUAAUACAAUUGAAUUAAAUGGAUCAUAUUUUAAUAUUAAUAUAUAUUUUAAAAUUAGACAUAUUGUAAUCAAAUAUCAUAAUAUUAUAUGUAAUUUAAUAAUAAAUGUACACUUAUAAAAUUCAUAUUUUUAUCGAUGCAUACAAUAUUAUUAUCAAAUAUGAUAAAUCAUGUUAUACAUAUAUCAAAAUUUUCAAUAAAAUAACUUUAAAAUGUCUAUUAUACUUCUAAUUAUAUUAUUAUGAGGUUUUCUUUACAUUUUCAUGAGUUUUAAACAAUUUUAAGCACCAAUAUUUUUUUCCAAAAUAUCCACCGAUAUAUCUCCGAUAUAUCCAAUAUAUCUCCGAUAUCUCCGAUAUAUCCGUAAAAUCGAAGUACCGAUAUAUCCGUGAUUACCGAUAUUUUCAUCAUUGCUUAGAUGCAACCUUCUUCCAAAUGACAUACUUUAGUCAAUACUUAUAUUUUUUCGUUUCACUUCUUUGAUACAACACCUCAUGGAUUUAUUGUUUAAUUUAUUUGUAAUUAUAAAACUAUUUUUCAUUUUUAAUAAGACUUGAAUUAAUUUAAUAAAUAUUAUAUAAUUUGAAUUUAUAAUUCUUUUUAUAAAAUCAAAGUAUAUUAAAAAAAAAACAAUUUAUCCGAAGAAAGUUUUUUAUUUUUUAUUUUUUAAAACCGAUUUUAAAAAUAACUAGCUAGACACCCUUAUUUUGAUAAAAUACGAAAUAAAAGUGUAAAAACAACAUGGCCAAAUAGGGGCUUAAAUUUUAUUUUUAAAACAUUUUUUUACACUAAAGUGCAUUUUAAAAACACCAUCAAAACCAACUACAAGUUAUGCUUCUUCCCGUAAUAGAAAUAUUUUAGGCCAAAAUAGAACCUCCCCAAAUAAAGACCCUAUACUAAACUCCUUUUCAUUUUAUUAAUACAAAAGUGGGGAAAAAAGGUCUAUGCUCACCUAAAAAACAUGAAUAUUGUGAAUUCACCAUUUCUAUAAGGAAGUUGAAAACUUCAAAAUUUUAUCAACAAAUUCUCUAAAAUCCUCAAAAUAUAUAGGGCCUGUUUCACAAAGUUUUUUAAAAUUUGUUUUUAUAAAUUGCUUUUAAAAUAUAGAAUAAAUAACAGUUUUUUAGAUUUUUUGAAAAAUAAGAGUGUUUGGUAAGAUGUUUUUUUUUUUUUUUUUUUUUUUAAGAAUUAAAUAAAAAAUAAAAAAAUUGUUUAGAUAAAAGAAUUUGUAUUGUUUUUAAAAACAAUGUCUUACUUUUAUGUUAUAAAAAUUUUAUUAAUUUAAUUUAUAAUAAUAUGAAAUGAAAUUCAAGUUAAGUCUUAUUAAAAAAUACAAAUUAAAUCUAUAAUUAUGCAUGAGUUAAAGAUAAAUAUAUAUUUUUUAAAACUAUAAAAUAAAUUUUCUAUUAUAGUGAAACAAAAAUUACUAUAAAAUAAAAAUAAUUUUAAUAUUCAUUUUUAAUACAAGUCAAAUAAGUACUUUAAUUAAUUUUUUUUAUCAUGAUUUCUUAUGUUUUUUUUUUUUUCUAGAAAUUAUUUUAAGUAAUAUAACUAAUUUUUUUUUUAAUGUUUUAUAAAAAUAAGGAUAUUUGGCAAGUUGUUUUUAUAAAAGGAUUUUAAAAAUAAAUGGAUUUUUUUUUUUUUUAAAAAAAGAACAAAAUGAUUUGUUUGAAUAAAUUGUUUUGAUUUUGUAAAAACAUUUUAAAUUCAAUUUAUAUAAUAUUAAUUAAUUAAAUUAAAUUGAAGUUUUAUUGAAAAUAAAAAUAAUUUUGUAAUUAAAAUUAGAUUAAAAAAUAUAUAGGUUUUAAUAAAUCGUAAAUAGUAAUAUUAUAAUAAAAUUAUAAAUUAUAUUUUUAACAUAAAAUAUACUAUUUAUUACAUAUUAAAAAAAAUAUUUUAUUAUAUUAAUAAUUUUAUGGUAUUAAUGAGUUUAUUAUUUAAGUUUUAAAUUAUUUUUAAAAAUUAAUAAAUUUGUUAACAAAUGCAAUGUACUAAAUGUGGUUUAAUUUGGAGUUAAUUUGUUUAGGGAAAAAAAUAAAAAAUAAAAAUCUUAUGUAAAAGAGAAAUAAUAGAGUGUGUGUGUUUUUUUUUAUUAUUUUUAAAAAUCAGUAAAAAGAACUUUUACUUAUUGCCUAAAAAUUAUUCUCUAUUUUAUUUUAUUUUUUAAAUCUAGAAAUAGAUAACAAUAAUAAAAAAAAUUAAAAAAGAAAAAUGUUUUUUAAAACUCAGACUUAUAAUUGCUUUUGUUUCUCAUUCGCACCCCUGGAUUCCUGGAUUCUAAACACAAAAUUAAGUUGAAUCGUCCAUCUAUCUUGUAAGCCAAGAAUUCACAUAGAAGAAAUAAUCGGAAUUUGAUUUGAUAUCAGAUUUAGAGUGGCUCACUACUCAUGCAUUGUCCCACAAUAGUAAUGCUUUGGGCCGAGAUAAACCCAUUUGUGGGCCCAAAUAAAACCCCUGGUUUGAAAACAUCGAUUUUACAGUGGCCCAAAAGAUUAUCUAUGAGGGGAAGAUAACUUGGAAGUCAAGCAAACACAUUUAUCGCUAACUUUUCUCUAAUUAUAAAAUUAUAACUUGGUCUUCUACACGUCUCACUUAAGAGGCGGAGCCACUUGGCACUACCUUUCCAUAUUGUAAAAGGAGAAGAAGCAGAAGGAGAAGAUUCUUAUGCCAUUCCACACACCAUGGCUAGUACUGCUAUGCUGCUUGGCCCGCCGGCUCUCCGCCAUCCUAAUUCUCCCGCCGGCACUGUCUUUGAAGAUGGGGUCAUUCUAACGGAUUCCCUGAUCGUCCGCACCAGUAAUCUGGAGCUUUCUGAAAAACCGCCACUGGAAUCCCUGGCGUAGUGCUCUGUCAGUGGGGAUAUUGCUAUGGAUUGUUUGGAUUCCCAAGCCCACAAUCUUCAUCUUCCCGGGAAACCGCCGAUGGGCUUAACGGAAAACAAGUCUCCGACCUUUUUGUCUUCCGGGAACCCGUGCUUGGACUUCUUCUUCCAUGUGGUUCCCGAUACGUCGUCUGAUGAUCUGAUCCGACGGUUUGAGUUGGCUUGGGAAUUCAAUCCGCUGACGACGUUAAAACUGAUAUGCAACUUGAGAGAGGUGAGAGGCACCGGAAAAUCUGACAAAGAGGGUUUCUACACGGCGGUUCUCUGGCUCCACGACCACCAUCCCAAAACCCUAGCCUGCAAUGCUAGGGUGUUGGCCAGCUUCGGUUAUUUCAAGGAUUUUCUCGAGAUUCUCUACCGGCUUCUGGAGGGCCCUAAAAUUCGAAGAAUCGAAAAGAAAGACUGGCUGGAUCGAAAAGGAAGGAAGAAAAAUUCCCGGAAAAGGAACUCAAUAUUCAAGCGAGAAAAUAGGCCUGGAGUUGAAUUUCCUGUAGAAGAGAAGGAUGUGGAGUAUAUGGUGGAAGAAUUUGUGGAUAAAGAAAAGGCUAGGGUACUGAGAAAGGAGAGAGAACUUGCUCUUGCCAAAAGAGCCCUGCACAAGUAUUCUACUGAUUCUAAUUAUCAGUUCUUACAUGAUCAGAUUUCAGAUUUAUUUGCUGAACUUCUGAAAUCUGAUAUUCAGUAUUUAAACUCCGGUGAGCUUUACAAGAUUAGUCUCGCAUCCAAAUGGUGUCCCACAAUUGAUUCUUCUUAUGAUAAAUCCACCUUGAUAUGUGAAAAUAUUGCUCGAAAGGUUUAUUCUCGCGAGGAAUAUAUAUCCAGAAUACCAAGGAAUUGAGGAGGCUCACUAUGUUAAUAGAGUCAGGGAUAGGUUGAGAAAACAAGUACUUGUUCCAUUACGUAAGGCCCUGGAGUUGCCAGAGGUUUUCAUGUGUUCGAACCAGUGGGGAUCACUUCCCUACAACCGUGUGGCUUCAGUGGCCAUGAAAUCAUACAAGAGCCUCUUCUCAAAACAUGAUACAGAGCGGUUUGGUGUGUAUCUUGAGAAAGUGCAAACUGGGAAGGCUAAGAUUGCAGCUGGUGCAUUACUUCCCCAUGAGAUUAUAGCUUCAUUGAAUGAGGAGGAUGGCGAGAAAGUUGCAGAGCUUCAGUGGGCGAGAAUGGUGGAAGAUUUAUCAAAGAAUGGGAGGCUCACAAAUUGCAGUGCGGUAUGUGACGUAUCAGGAAGUAUGAGUGGAACUCCAAUGAAGGUGUGUGUGGCUCUGGGGCUGUUAGUUUCAGAGCUCAGUGAAGAUCCAUGGAAAGGUAAUGUAAUUACUUUCAGUGCAAGUCCUGAGCUUCACAAGAUCCAAGGAGACAGCCUUGUAUCCAAGACUGAAUUUGUGAGGAUGAUGGAAUGGGGUGCGAACACUGAUUUUCAGAAAGUUUUUGACAGAAUCUUACAAGUAGCAGUGGAGGGAAAUCUGAGUGAAGAUCAAAUGAUAAAGAGGGUUUUCGUUUUCACUGAUAUGGAGUUUGAUGAAGCUUGUGGGAGGUAUAACUAUUGUGAAUAUGACUAUGAUAUGGAGGAAAUUGAUGAGAGUCAGAAGGCAUCUCAGAAGUGGGAGACAGAUUAUGAAGUGAUACAGCGGAAAUUCCAGGACAAAGGAUAUGGAAAAGUUCCGGAGAUAGUGUUUUGGAACCUUAGAAACUCAUCAGAGACUCCAGUGAUGGCCACAGAGAACGGGGUGGCCUUAGUAAGCGGGUUUUCGAAGAAUCUGUUAGACCUUGUUUUUGGAAGGAGGUGGAAUUCUGACCCCUCAGGAUGUGAUGGAAUUAGCCAUCUCUGGUGAAGAUUACAAGAAACUUGUUCUAUUUGAUUAAGAUAUCAAGAGAUUUAUCAAUAAUAAUAUGUUUUUUUUUUUCUAUGUGAAAUACAUGUAAUAUUAACUAUGGAGUUAUCAAAGUUCUGGAAAUUUAAUUAUUUCUUCUUUUCAAGUUUUGUUUGUCUUUGUUAGGAAUUCCCCUUGGGCGGACCCAGCUGGGGACUUGGAUUGAGGAAGUAAGGAGGCGAAAUUGUGUUCUUCUAUGGACAGAGAAAAAAGAUAAAAAUAAAAAAUAAAAAAGGAGGUUAUUUGCAUUUGGAUGUCAUGUGGUUUCAGGGUACAACUACAAGUUCGAAAUUGUACAUAAUGUGAAAAUUCCUGUGUGGAGAACAGCAUAAAUAUGUAUCUCAGUGUGUUUUGUUUGAGCUAAUUGGCAAAUUCGCUUUAAACAUGGUCACAUGGAUGCAUAUUUAUUUGUGAAAUGAUAGUAGUCGAUUACUUGGUCAGUAAGGUUUGUAUCUCUAACUCCAACAUCUUAUUGUAGUCUUUUAAAAUGUCAAAAGUUUAAUGCUAGCUUGAGAAAUUUUGGAAUGGAGACAUUCUAAACAAAGUUAAUAAUCCAUGAGACUUGGUAAAACCGAUCAGAUGAUGCUUACGUACAUGAAUGCCUUCUUUAAGCCGUAUCCUAUUUUCAUUGAAUGAGACGUGCCAUCUAGUUUUGUUCUUGUCUUGAUUGGAUCAUGAUCCCGGGAAUUGAUUACUGUUCUGAAUUUGCGAAUGUUCAAGGUAUUAGAGAAAGUUAAUAUUAUCGUUAAUUUACAUAUUAGUAUUUAUCUAGUUAUUAUAUAUUAGUUUGAAUUAUAAUAUAAUAUAGAAUUUGAAUCAAGUUUACUAUUAGUUUGAAUUACAAUAGGAAAUAAAGUUUGAAUUAUAGUAUAACUCAAAUAUAUUUGUAUAUAAAUAUCCAUCUUUAUCAAUGAGAAUAGUAAACCAUAUUUUUCUCUAUCUUCUUCUUUCUCUAUAUAUAUGGUAUCAAAGCCUCCAAAUCCUAAACCUAGUCUCAACUUAGAGCAAAUUUAGGGUGCAGGGUUUAGGCCCCGCCUCCCCCAACCCUUACCACAAAUGGUAGUGACCUUGUUAUGCCUAUGUAUUGUCAAUGCCUCAUUUUCUAUGGUCUUCAAUACAAUAUCUAGUUUCAAUGUCUCUUUCCUUACUAUCUCCAAUGCAAUAUAUUGAUUUCAAUAUCUCUUUACAACCAAGAGCUCCAAAUUUUCCUGGUUCAAAUCUACCAUAAUUUUUAUUCUCCUUUGCUUUUUACCAAUAUUAGUUCCCCUAAUUUAAUAUAUAUCUCUUUAUUACCUUCAACUCUACCUCUCUCUUUCUUUAAAAGCUUCCUCAAAGAUUUGAUUGCUUUCUUGCAUGUUUUGGGAAAACAAACAUGCUCAUAUUCUAUUACCUCUACUUGAGAUCUGCCUUAUACUCUACCUUCUUCUUUACCUCCUAUAUCAUCUACUACAUUAGCUUCAAAAACAUUAUUUAGUUUGAUGCUAAAUAAGGCUCCUAAUCCUACCCUUCCUUCAACUAACUUUCUUUUACAAGUCCCUCAAAGUUUUUUUUUUUUUUUUUUUGGAAAUUUGGCUUAGAAAGAUUUCAUUACUCUUACCUAAUCUUUCAACCAUCAAGUCGAAUCCACUUAUCUCUUGAAUCCAAGGAGACUACCCUCCACAAAAACAAGGAGAUUGACCCCCACAAUAACAAAGAGAUUGUCCUCCAUAGAAACAAAGAGAGCUUCCUUCAUGGAAGCCGAAUACAUCGCAAUCUAUUUUCUUUCUCUCAAGAUCAAAUCUCCAAUCGGAGCUCCAUCUUGUGGGGAUAUAUUAGAAAAAGUUAAUAUUAUCCUUAAUUUACAUAUUAGUAUUUAUCUAUAUUAUAUAUUGAAUUAGAAUAGAAUAUAGAAUUUGAAUUAAGUUUACUAUUAGUUUAAAUUACAAUAGGAAAUAGAGUUUGAAUUAUAGUAGAACUCAAAUAUAUUUAUAUAUAAAUAUCCAUCAUUAUCAAUGAGAAUAGUAUUCCAUAUUUUUCUCUUUCCCUGAGGCUUCAGAAUGUGAUCUUGAACAUUUGAUCUUUUGGAUUCUUCUUGUUUCGGUGGUUUAAUAUAAUGGAAUGUUUAAUUAUAGCCUACUUUAUCACCAUGGAUGUGCUCCUGCAGAUUUCUUGAGGGUGAUGGUUAUUUUGUCAUGUUUCUUGAAUGGUUUGCAUCAGCUGCCUGAGCUGUUGUUGCUGGUCACUUUUGCAACCAGGGAAAGAAUCAUGGCUUUGGAGAAGCCAGCUUCUGUUUUUGUUGCCCAGCUGUUAGUUCACUAAGAUUGGGGGUCCUAACAUGUAUGUAUAAUCAUAAGCAAGGAAAUUUUAUGUCUUACGCUAGAUAGGUACCAUGAUAUGAUGUUUGAUUGAUUUAUUAACUCUACCUGUUUCAAAAGGCAUCAACAUUAAUUUUACCCUUUUAACACAUUGGAUUGUUUGACCUUACGAGAUUUUCUAUUUCUGUACUAUUUGAACUGCAAUCGUUAUGGUCCUUAGGUCUCUAAACCUUCGUUUAAAAUAAAAGUAAGGAGCACACAUAGUAAAAGUUAAUUUUGGGUAACUUUUAAAACAAAGAGAAAAGUAAAAGUUGUUUUUGAGAAAAACAUAUAGAAAUUGAAAGAUUUUUUAUUUUGAGAAAAAAAAGUCAUAGAAAAGAAAUAAUAUCCCCAUAUAAGUAGAUAUGAUCUAUCCGAAGUGUAGCUACUCUCCUGGAUUUAUUCUAACAUUUUAAAAUUUUUCUCAAUGGGCAAAGGAAUAUCAAAUCAAGCUUGAGUAGGAUUAAUUUCUUAAUUUUUAAAAUAACUUAUAAUUAAAAUUUUUUGGUGUUUUCUUUUUUGGACAAUUUUUUAUGAAGACUCUGAAUCAUGCAAGAGAUAUGGUUAUUUUAAAAAAAAAAAUAAUUUAAAACUCAAAUACAUAAUCAAUGUCACAAAUUUAUAAACAAAAGGUUUUUAAAAAAUACUAUUAUUUCCCCUCUACACAUAAUUUUACUUUUCCGAUUUAUUUAUUUUUGUUGGAAAACAGUCUUCAAAUCAAGUAAAAUUAAUAUGUUAAAUUUGUUAAACAAAUAAAUUUUAAAAUACAAUUUGGAACUCAAAAAUCAAUUCAAGUAAUGCUAAAAUUCAAAAAAUCAAAUUUGGAAUAAAAUGACUUUGUAAAUUUUUUUACUAAACAAAUGAAUUUUAAAUCAAGUGAGAUUUAAUACAUUGGAUUUUUAUGAGAAUAGUAAUUUUAAAAAUUAAUUUGGAACUCAAAAAUAGACACAAUAAAUACCAAAAAUCAAUGAACCAAAAUUGGUUUGGAAUAACUCCAUAAUUUUUUAUUUAUUUAUAUAUUUAUUUUUUUGUGCACACGAAUUUCUUACUAAGCAUAUUGCUUCCAAAUUGAGAAAAAUUUACUAUUUAGAUUUUUUUAAUGAGUUUAAUGGUAUUUAAAAAUAAUUCAAAAAUUCGAAAAUUGACUAAUUUAAUAUUAUAAAUUCAUAAACCAAGACUAAUUCAAAAUGCAUUGGGGGCUAAGGGGGUUGAAAUUAAUGCUCCAUUUGGUUGUGGCCACCAAUUGGCAAUGGCCACCAAUCAACCAAUCAAGGUGGCUAAGGGGGUUGAAAAUAGGGACAAUGGGGUGGGUUUGGGACAGGACACUCAUAUCCCAUUCCCAUCCCAAUUACACAGUUAUUUCCCAUCCUUAUUCCAAACUUGUGUUGGGGCAAGUUGAUUUGUUCCCAUCUUUGUUAACGAAAUGACUAAUAACCUCAUCCUCUCCUUGUCUUAGAUGUACAUUUUCUCAAAUUUGGUCAGGUAUGAUUGAUUCAAGCCCUAACCUUAAUUGGUAAUGAGUGGAUACCACACCUAAUUGCAUUCUUCUUUCGUUGCAAAAUAAUGAGAUUAUAAUAAUCUAGCAAAUAAGAAAAAAUAGUAUGGAAGUUCAAAUUAACACCAUAACUAUCAAUAAUUUUAAGCUUAUAGAUGACUUAAAUGAUUGAAAACUAAUGCAAAAUACUAAAAAAAAAAAAAAUCAUCUAAAGAAUUCACAAGAGAAUAGAACGAACAAAACCAAAUAGGAACAUGGGUCAACAUUAGUUACAGAUUUUGAUCCCUUUCAAGGCCAAUCUUUGAACCAAGACUUCAUCAAAUCUACUACUUCAAAGGCUUUUGUGUUCUUCUUGAGUUGUACUCUGGAACAAAGACUUCGAGGUGAUGCUUUAGAUGAUUGCAUUACACAUAUUUAGGGUAGGGAGAUUGGAGAAGCUUGAAGAUGCCAACGAUGGGUACAAUUGAGUGGUCAAUAAGAACAAUGUGGCCUAUGACUAGUUUGAUGUCAUGGUAUAGGAGUUUUGGGCAUUGAGGUGAAAGCAAGAGCAACAUGGAAUUGAUUUCAAAGUCUUUCAAUUAGUGUAAAGGAGGAAGAAGAAGUGGUAUUGAUCCUAGAAAUAGUGUUUUAGGUGUUGCAUUAGAGGAAAAGAAAAAGAAAAAGAAGGAACCAUUGGAAUUAGUACGAGUGUGAAGAGAGAAGUGUAUACAUAAGGGGAAGUAAAAGCAAAGUUCUAAAAAUUUAUUUUUUUAUUGGUGGUGUAUGGUUGCAUGAUUAUCCCUAUAAAUAAUAGGAGUUUUUUGGUGUUCUACUAGUAGUUGAAGGAUAAUUUCAUAAGAUAAUAUUUAGAGCGGGGUGGGGUGAGUUGUGACAAAAUCCAUACCCGUCCCAAACAUUGGUUCAGGUUUUUAAAAUAUUUUCAAACUUAUCAUAUACCCAAUUUUAUAUUUCAUACUUGUCCUAAUAGAGACAGGUUAGUCAGGGUUACUUGAGUAGCCUACAAAACUAUCAUCCCUAGUUGAAAUGCUCUUUUUGGCAGUGGCAGCUAGAAGCUCGAUCGAUUGACCUACAAGACUAGUUGUCAUCAUUUUAAAAAGAGUUUUGGCUUUGGUUGUGAGUGCAAUUGAAUCUAAACUAACAUUUCCUUAAUGCAUCUACUUCAAUCCUAAACUUCUUACUUAAGCCUCAAUUGUUGUUAAGAUUUUGGAAAACCCAUUUCCUUAAAUUGUAAAUUUAAGAAAAAAAAAAUUAAAAGUGAGACAUUUCUUGAUUGAAUGUUGUUAAAGGUCCCUUGGAAUUAAGACUUGGUUGAAGCCUUGGAAGAUUAGCAGAACUCUCAACUUAUGUUUGAACCUUGAGGAGAGUGGACGUAGGCCAAAAUUUUGUCAAACCAUUAUACAAAUUGAGUUUGAAUUCUCAUUUCUUGAUUUCUUAUUUAUUUGCUUUUUCUUAUUAUUACUUGAAUUGUCAUUUGCAUUCAUUAAUGUUAAAAUUGGUUAUAAUUAGCCAACACUAAUUCUCUUUCCCCUUCCCUUAAUUUCUUGGGUGUAAACCUAGGUUGGAUUAACUAGAUUUUAUCAAAUCUAUUAAGAUGGUAAAAGAAUAAUUAUUCUUAACAUACAUAAGAUCAUCUUCAAUCAAAUGACUCAUUGGCUGAUAUGUUGAAUUUGCUUAUUACUUGCAACUCAAAAUUGUGUUCUAGUUGAUAUGUCAAGUCCUGAGUGUAUGGACAUUAAAUUUGUAGUACGUGAUGAGUAUUUAGAUGGUCCAAUUCCAAGAAAGUGAUUGAAAACUAGUUCAAGAAAGGUGCAAAAGGGAAUUGUUUUGGUAUUUUCGUUUUUAUUCUUGAAGGUGGCAGAGCUAAAAUUUGAGAAAUCAAGCAAAACAUACUGAAAUUACAUUGAAAGAAAGAAAAUGGGAGUUAAUGUCUUGCAGUACAUGAUAAGGACUUCAUGCAUGUAGUGUGACCCAUGUCUUGGACUGAUGCCACACUCACGGUUACACUUAUACCCUUAGUUCUCUCUUUACUACCUUAGCUAACCUAGAUCAGGUUAUGAGAUAGGCACCUCACCACACCAUUACUUGCCCAUUAAUUAGUGACAUUUUCAAGCAAUGAGGUAACAUGGUGACACCAAGAGGGUAUAUUCCUCACCCCCAACAAGCCUAGACCUGGUCUAAAAAAAAUGGAGAAAAAUGACGUGUUGUUAUGCAGAAAUAUAGCAACCAUGCCUUCCUCAUUACUUAGAUUCAGAAUGUGAAGGUGAAAUUGAGAAACAGAAACUCUUGAAACCAAAAUGAAAAUUGAUACUUUUACGAAGAAUUACAACAACAUUAGAGGAAGACUACAUUCUUCCUCUUUAUUCCUACAUUUCUACACUACUUCUACUCCACUCCAUAUUUCUACAUACAUCUUUAAUCAGUCUUCCCUCCUUUAUAUAGAGCCAUCUUCACACAAAUUCCGCAAGGUAGAAAAGAGGAAUGAAACUUGGAGCAAGGUUCGACUACUGGCUGUAGCUUGUCAAGGCUGAAAGUGAACUUUUUUUCUUGGCUUUUCUGGGCAUAGGUAGUAACUUGUAGGUUCCUUUUUGGAAUGAAAAUGGUACGGCUAGAACAUGUGGCACUCUCUUGUUGGAUGAUGUGUCAAGCAUGUGGCAGCCAUCUAGUGGAGAUUAUGUCAAUUUUGGGAUGGAGAGUUGGCAUCCAAUUGCAAAGAAAUAUGACAUCUACCAACAUGCAAUGUCAACCUAUGUAGAUCAUAUGAAGAUAGAGAGGAAAAAUAUAGAAAUGGAUAUAUAACUAGAACUAGCUUUUUAUUAAAUGAGACGGAGAGCCAACAAUGAAGGAAAAUCAAAAUUUUUGGCUCAUAUCAAAGAAUUCACAUUGUGUUACCCUAGGUUUUCUUAAAACUUACUUUUAUGAUAAUAAAAAAUCAUUAUUGUUUAAUCCUUUGUUUUAAACGCAUGUUUAGCAGGUUGUAAAAUGUAAAUAUCUUUCGAAAUUCAAAUAUGAAGAUAUGACAUCAUUUCAAGCAAUAUAGUCUCUAGGAAUUAAUGUAAAGCUAAAUUAAGGUGCAAUUAAGUUAGUUCAAUGCAUUAUUUUAAGAAACUUGACCUAUCAAAACCUUGUCUUACUUCAAAGCCUCUUUUUCUUUUCUUCCAACUAACAUUUUAAUAAGUGAUCGCAAAAGUACAAAAUUAGAUGAAAUCCAUUUCAAUGGUUAAAAUGAUCAAAUUCAAACUUUUUCUAAGUAUCUUUUAAAAGCAUCAAUAUUGAAAGACAAUUUUAUAUUUAGUCAAAGCUUGGACAGAGCCAAAAAGCACACAAAAAUUUAUAUUUUCUAGCUCUCUACCUUGGAUGGUCUCUUGAUCCUACUUGGAGAUGUGCAUAAAUAAAAGGAUUUGAAAAUGACAAUUGACUAAGUAUGUAGUCAAUCAAUUACUCAUUGAUUGACUAGUUGAUCAAUUAACUUUGCAACAUCAUAUGCAAUCCUAAUAGCUAGUCAUCUAAUCAACUAGGUAGUAAAUCAAUAGGCCAAAAAUAUGUUUAUAAUGACUAUUUUGUACAAAAACCACUUAUAUAGUUAAAUAUAAUGCAUUUCAUUUAUAAAUCUUCUAAUUCUUGAAUAACAAUCCUAUCAUCCUUUGAAAGUUUUUAUUACACCUUUUCUACAUUUGUUCUAAAACUUAUACAUCACCCUUAAUUGUACCAUGAGAACCUAGCAUUUUUUUUUUUUUUUUUGUAUUUCAUCAAAGUUAGCUCUUGUACUCAUUGUUGUAUUAUUUUUAUUGUAACUUAGAGAGCGAGUGUUUUCAAGUGAGUGAAAUUGACUUGUAAAUAUUGUAAAGAUUCAUUGAUAUGUAUCUCAAACUAGGUGUACAAGUUGAAACAUUUGCUAGUAGAUUUUCUCAAGAUUUAGAAUGAGCUUAAGGCUAUCGAAUUAGGUGGGGUUGCGCCAAACCAUAUCACAUCGUUGUUUGCACCUUUUUUUUCACUCUCUUUUACUUAGUUGCUCUAUAUAUAUUGUCUAGCAAUAUCCUAAAGGCUUGAUGGGCUAGGGAGCAUCCCUCUGAAUGAAAAAUUUUCAUUCAAUUCUUAGUUGUAUUACGCAUAUAUAAAAUGCCUCAUUGUUUUAAUGGUAUUCAGUCGUGGCACCACAGAUAUGGACAUCUAAAUUUUAAAAGUUUGAAACUUUUAGCUAAAGAAAAUAUGGUGCUUUGCCUUUUUGGAAAGCAUGUUGAUGAAAUCCAUGAGAAUUGUAUACUUGGAGAGCAACAUCGAGAUAACUUUUUUUUUUUCUUUUUUUAUAAUGCAUUGUUUGUCCAAAUUCCGUACAAAUUAGGCCACCACAUGUUCAUAAUUCUCCCUUCUUGAAUUUGAAAACUCGGACAAUUUGACAAUGCGACACCUAAGUCCGGUUUUUAAAUGCUAAAGUGAAAGGGCAGGUAUGGACCAUUGAAAUGUGAUAACAACUUUUGGCCUUUUCCUUUUCUCUGUAGCCAUGUUGUCUCUUUUUAAUUUCUUUUGCAUGAUUUUCUUACCUAAACAGAAUCAUAGACUUGUUUAAUCUCUAAGUGGGAUUUCAUCCACCUUAAGCUACUGUAUUAUAUCUCGGUGGAGGACAACCGACAUAGAGCACAUGCAAGUGGGUAUAUGGGACAUGAAAUAUCUUCUUAUAAAGCUUGUUUUGCAGUUAAAUUAAUUGGAUAAGUAGACACUGGCGUUUCUAAAUUUCCCACCUAAGAUAAUGACCUUAUCCUUGACUGCUAGAUACACAAACAAUUAUACCUUCAAAAUCUACUGUGAAGUGCUUCAUGUAUGUGUGAAGUAUUAGAAAUUUCUUUCUUGGCAACUUGUUUUUUUCUUUGCGGUCUACUGAUAGGUUUGACUAAAAUUAUAUUCCCUGUCCUGCUAAUUAAUUUUCACGUGCAUGCUCAAAAGAAGAGUAUGACCUUAGUGCACCAAAAUCACUUUCAAUAAUUUGUGAUAAGUUUUUUUGCAUGACAUUAACCUUAUUCAUUUAGAUAAUGUUUAGUUCUCAUAAAUAUUAAGAAAAUGAAAAUAAAUAUUAAGAAAAAUAUUCUUAUAUUUGAUUGUAUUAUGAAAAAUAUCAUAAAAAAUCAAAUAUAAUUAAAAUUAAUUAAUAAUUUAUAUAUUUUAAAAUUAUUUAAUUUUUAUAUUAAAGAUAUAAUAUAAAUGAAAUGAGUUUUAAGUAUUAUAUAAAAAUGAUUUAUUUAUUUAUUUAUAUAUAUAUAUAUAUAUAUAUUUAGUUUUUCUCUUUAUUUUAUUUUCCUUAUGUUUUCCUCACAUUUUCCGGAAUCAAAGAUAGGGAAAUCCACAAUUACCUUCAACUGAGUAGAUUCUAUUGUUUUAGCAAUGUUAGGCUGCUAACUUGUGGUGGUACGAACCAAAUGAUCCAUGUUAAUCUUGGCUUGAUUUAAUUUGGCUCUAUCUCAGAGAACUCAAGGAUCACGUCAACUCUGGUUUCUACUAUUCAGGUCCAUUCCCAGAUGAACUGGUUCAAAUUUGAGAAAAUGGUAACAGACCUUUAGUGAUAUUGGUUUGGAGCCAGUUGCCAAACCUGCCCUGAGCUUUACCACUAAUGUCAAGGGACAAAGCCAUUUGAACAAAAACAAUAGCUUCAAGAGACUGAAUCGUGGAUGAAAUCUGAUCCACAUUUCUUCUCAUUUUGGGAAAAAAUGAGGACUUAACCACAAAGAUUCUACUGCCUCAUAGUGCUUUUCCUGAUCUAAGGUUGGCUCGUUUCCCAAAUUGUGAGGUGCACGUGCCACUCUCACGCUCAGGAGUGUAUCCACGUGGUGGACAUAAGAUGGUGGCUUAAUAUCUGGUGUCGGUGGCUUUACUUUACUAGGAGAGUAGUGUGUCUUCAUCUCAUUCACUGCCAGAGGGUGGCGUAAGCAGUGACGCUAAGGUGGGGCACAGUCAAUAUCAUUUGCAUUUGACCAUUAUAAUUUUCUCCCGGCUUUAAAGUAACCUUAUCGUGAUAAUGGAUUACUAGCACUAGUUCAGAUGACAGUCAUGUUAAAUUCGGACCAUGUUUGUGUCACAUUAUCAGCAACCAUGUGCUUGUGGUUCAUGCUAUCUGCAACUAAACUUGAUAUAUAACCAGGUGAACUUCAAUCUAAAUUCUGGAAGUACUCAUGUGAUAGAUGGUGCCUGUCUGCAGUGAGUGUAUCUAUAAGAGGGAAGGCUUGGCAAAUGUUCAGUUUUCUGGGAAUUCAACAGGGAUCUAAAAUAGAUUGUUUUCUUUGCUGAUUUCAAUGGUUGAAAUUUGAGAAGAUUGUGUCCACAUAACACAACUAUUACUGGUCCUUCUGUUGCAAUUUAUCCUCUAAGGCUCUAACAUGUCUUCCAAUUCCCACUUCCCACUUCCCUGUUACUCCAGGAAAGCUGUUUCUGUCAUUGUGAAGAAGAAAAGAGACUGUACAUAUCGAUGCUUUUAAGUGGACUGGAGAAUUCAUAUCAGGUGGUCUGCAGCCAUACAUGCCACUUUGUGAAGGUUGGAACAGUCAAUCACUAGGCUAUAUUAGUGGGGCCCAGCCACUUCAAUCAAGGACAAGUCUUCAUACUUAAAGUCAAAUUCUGCCUUUAGUCUCAUUAUAAAUUGCUGUUUAAAUAUCAAGCAAACAUUUGUUUAAUGCGAUUAAGACAGCACUAACUCAAUACUUGUUCUAUUUUUGGAUGCAAAUGCUUGAUAGUUUCAUCAUUGGAGGGGAUAAAGGUGCAUUCAUGAUUAUGAAUACUUGUAGUUAUAUUUUCAUUCUCUUUUUUCUCAAUGGGACUUGUUGGCACAAUUUUGCUGUUCAGAAACCUACCUCUCCAUGGAAAAUCAGUUGUGAUUGAUAUUACUGGAUAUAUUCAAGAAAGCUAAAUGUAGAUAGCACAAAAUAUUAUCGACAUAAAUAGCAUUAACAGCGUACGUAUGUCUCAAUGCUCAUCAGCUAUAAGCAAGGGGCAAACACUUACUAUGAGCAACUUACGUCAAAAUUCCGGAAUAGGACAUAGAAGUGACAGGUCAGUAAAUAUAGAACACUGCAUAUGAGUCACAAGAAAGGAAAUUACGGGUACAUAGCAGCUCUUAUUUUACAUCCUACUCAUACUGAUCAAAGUCACUCAGUUGGGAUGGGUGGGAGUGGGAGGUUUGUGGGGUGGCUUGUGCGGAGGAGUUGGCAGCUUCUUUCCAGGACCUGGUUGCUUCUCUGCUGGAGUUGAAGGAGGCUUAAUCUUCCGAGGUGGCUUGUAUGAGUCUUCAGCAUUCUCAGCAGGAGGGUGACCAGGGUUGUGACCACAAUGUGGUGGCUUCUCUCCCUUAGGUGGUUUGCCAACUGGGGUUGGUGGCUUGUGUUCCGGAAGUGGCUUCUCUUUGUGUUCAGGAGGUGGCUUCUCCACUGGAGGCUUGUGUUCAGGAGGUGGCUUCUCCACCGGAGGCUUGUGUUCAGGAGGUGGCUUCUCCACCGGAGGCUUGUGUUCAGGAGGUGGCUUCUCCACCGGAGGCUUAUGCUCUGGUGGUGGCUUCUCCACCGGAGGCUUAUGCUCUGGUGGUGGCUUCUCCACCGGAGGCUUAUGCAAUGGUGGUGGCUUCUCCACCGGAGGCUUGUGUUCAGGAGGUGGCUUCUCUACCGGAGGCUUAUGCUCUGGUGGUGGCUUCUCCACCGGAGGCUUAUGCUCUGGUGGUGGCUUCUCCACCGGAGGCUUGUGUUCAGGAGGUGGCUUCUCCACCGGAGGCUUGUGUUCAGGAGGUGGCUUCUCCACCGGAGGCUUGUGCUCUGGUGGUGGCUUCUCCACCGGAGGCUUAUGCUCUGGUGGUGGCUUCUCCACCGGAGGCUUGUGUUCAGGAGGUGGCUUCUCCACCGGAGGCUUAUGCUCUGGUGGUGGCUUCUCCACCGGAGGCUUGUGUUCAGGAGGUGGCUUCUCCACCGGAGGCUUAUGCUCUGGUGGUGGCUUCUCCACAGGAGGCUUGUGUUCAGGAGGUGGCUUCUCCACCGGAGGCUUAUGCUCUGGUGGUGGCUUCUCGAAUGGGGGAUGCGUAGGGUAAUCAGCUAGUGAGGGGGCGGUGAGAACCACCAGGCCAAGCAACACUACUAGCAAGUAUGUAGGAGACAUCUUUGGGUUUGGGCUCAGAUGGUGCAAAACUAGGAGAAUUGGCUAGCCUUUUAUAGCGGAUCGUACCCAAUAAUGAAAUGACACGUGUCAUUAUGACCCAUGUGUCAUGUGGUCGAUUUGGGUCCUACAGUGUUGAAAACUUCGACAUCCACUUUUUUGGCCUUUUGCUUUCUCUACAGUCGCCUUGCUUUUUCCCUCUUUUCUUUUGUUUUCCUCCUGCCCCAUUCUAUCAACUAAUCACAAUUAUGUAGUUGUUUAAUUCUUAAAUGAGAUAUUAUCCGUCAAUCAUAUUAUCUUUUAUCAAGAGAGAACGGAGUGAAAAGUGGCAAUCCAAAGAAAGAAGAUCCAUAAUGCAGCUGUAAUUUUAUCGUUUACUUUUAUCUCUAGGACCACUGCAUUUUUGUUGAGAGGUGCAAUAAUACACGUCUUUAUCUGCCAUUCAAUGUUUACAGUAAAGAGAGGGCACAAAACUCUUCACUGCUCUGCAUGUGCCCCAAAAAUGCAAUUGGACAAAUUAUGAUUUGCAUGCUAAAAAGAGGCAAAUGAGGUUAAUUAGCACCAAAAUUAUUUUGUUUUCUGGACACCCCGGGGCCCUUUGGUUGGUUUGGGGGUCAGAAAAUGAACAUCAUAGGGGGUUUUUCCCUAAUGUGCAUUUGCAUUUGUAUCUGAUGGCUUUAACUCGCCUUGUUACUACAAAGAAAUUGUCACAGAUAGGAACUUAUUCCAGGCUGAGUAUCUCCGCAUGGACCCUAUAAAAGAAGACAAGUCAUAAUGAACAUCUAACCUUUGUUCAAUUUGAUUCAAUGCCCCUAUUGUGUCCAUCUCACAAAUCUGAAUUAUUAUAUCCAUUGAAUACAUAAAUUAAUGAAGAAAAUAUGAAACCCAAGAUACAUCUCUGCACAACCUCAACCCUGGUUGCUAUGUUUCACUUCUAUUCACAUGAGGAUAUUGAUUACGGAAUAAGGAAACCUAGCAAGGGUUUACUCGGCUCUGGUUUGAUGCUAAUUGCCAAACUUGCAACAAGCCCUGAGUUUGACACCUAAUCGAUGGGCGAAUUAAAAGUCUCCUCCAAACAUAUAUUCCACAGCUUGAAGCUCACAGAAGAUGCUAUACAGGCAGGGAAAAACCUUCAGAGUUAGCUACCAAAGAUAAUUAUCAAGGAGAUAUCACCAAGAGAAUUCCAUGGAGUCUGAAUCAAAGACAAAUUGCUCGCUCGUGGGGGUUCUUACUUAAUUUCUUUUGGGUAUAACUCACUGAGGGCACUGGCUUUGUUAUUUGCAUUUCGCAUUUAGAGUUCUGUUCUGGAAGGUUUGUUCUGGAAACAUAUAAAAGGAGCAUCAUUUUGUUCUAGGGUAACCCAUAGUUGUGAGUGGGUCCAUUUGCAUGCUACUUAGUUGAAAAGUUGGACAAUUUGCUCCGACGCCUACCUCCUGGAUUCCAUGCUCGGAUAAAGCAAGAAUAAUAAAAUAUUUAUAAUUUACAAAUGGGGGAAAGAAAAAAAUGUCAACAACAAACUAGGAAAAAAGAGUAGUAAAAUUUAUGCCACAUGCUAUUGAUAGAAGGGGCAUGUAUUAGAUCCAUCACCAUUUGGUAAGAUUUUAGUAUUAUAUUUUUCAAGGUUCAUUAUUUGAGGGUGUGUUCUUCAUCUCUGUUGCAUUGCUUCUUACUAGGCCCACUGAGGUGGGUUCUUCACCUUUUGUAUAUUCUCUGCACUAGAUCAAUGAGAAAGGGGGAAUUUUGGUGAAUUUGCAGCCGUUGGAUGAUUGAUUCUAGGCUCAGUCCACCAAUGAUGCUCUCUUCACUCUUUCUCAUCUAGUGUCAUUCACAACUAUGUUUUGAUUCAUAUUUGUACUAUCAAAGAUAUCUCAUUAUUCUAGCUCAUUAGGUAGAGUUCCUAAUCUUCCUCCUUUUUGGUCUAUGGACAGUAUUGGCUUCAUAUUAAGAUCAUGUUUCAAUAAUUGCACAUUAAUGAAUGGAUCAUGACCCACAUAAACAGAGUCAGGGUUGAGUCAGUGAACCCUAAAAUUUCACAAUUCUAAAUUUGGGUUCUUUAACAAUGCAGGGUCAAGGACGCGUGGUGAUGAAGGAAAGCUGGUAAGCUCAGUGUUACUUCAAUUCCUGCCAUGUAGGAUGGUGAGGAGAUAUUCACUAUGCAAUUAAUAAUAGACAAUAUUCACUAUGCAAUAAUAAAGCAUAAAUUAAGUUGAAUGAAAAGCAUUUUCUUUGCAAGGAGUUGAUUUUGGUUUCAUAGUUUGUUCAACUGCUAUUUUGGAUAGGAAAGUGUGAGGAGAAGAAAAUAAAAAAUAAAAAUAAAACAAAAAAUAAAAAAUAGAUUUUAUAAAUUCAUUUAAUUUAUUUUUUUUUUAUAAAAAUUAACUAAUUUAAAAUAUAUGUAAAUUUCUAAUUAAUUUAAUUACAUUUUUUUUUUCAGUUUUUCAUAAUAAACCAAAUAUUAGAAAAUUAUUUUUAUUAAGACACCCAAGAUGAGGUAAUAUGCAAUGAAAACAUGAAUUAUAUUAAAAUUCAAAACAAAUUAAGAGAAAUCGGAAAAUAUACAUAGAUAUCUAAACAAAGAAAUUUAAAGAGAAGGAACCACAAACUUUAUUUACAUAAUUUGAAAAUAAAAAACAUAAAACAUACUUAUAGUAAGGAGAAAUUGAAUAUCUUACAAUGGAAGAAGGGAGAAAAGCUUUGAAGAAAGCUUUUGCUUGGAAGCUUACAUGGUGAGAGGUAGAGAAAGGAGAGAGAGAGAAGAAAAUGAAAAAUGAGAAGUGGAGAAAAUUGGAAGUUUUGUGUGCUUACAACUGAGGAUAGAGCCUCCUUAAAUAGCAAAAAAUGGAAUAUUAAAUAGUACCAAUCAGGAGACAAAAUAUUGUUUGCUUUUGAAACCCGUGCAUGAAUAGUAAUCCCGUGAGUGAAUAGUGAAUAAUAAAAGUGAAUAGUAAAAGUCACUUUCUACUAUAGCACUUUAGACUUUUUCAUCGAGAAUCUUACUUUCGGCUGAGUGAUGAUAGCUGAUAGGUUGCUUUGGAUUGUGGAGUCAUAUGUUUGAUGUUUUCGGUGCUGAAACCGCUUAGUUGGAGAAUAAUCUCGUCAGUAGAGCAUCAUGAGAAGCUUGAAUGGAGAGAGCUUAAUGAUGCCAUAUGAUUGGAAGGAAUCCUAUUUUAAUUUCCUUAUUGGAGGGAGAAUACCCUCACAAUCAUCUUCAUUAUCUUGAAGGUAGUUUGAUAUAGAGUCAUCUGACUCAGCAUAAGAGUCCUCUUGGGAGAAGCUUGAACUGCUUUUGUCAAGGAUUUUCUGAAAUUCUUGAGGGGUUUUUGCUAUUGCUAACAUGGUUUGGAGUUGCUGUUUCUUAAGAAGAAACUGUGCAAUAUCAUAAGAUGAUGAAGCUUGUGUAGGAUGCUUUAGGAAAUAUUGCUUUAUUGCUUGUAGUGAGGUAUCAUUUUUCAAGGCAUCCCACCACUUAGACUUGAAAGUCCUUCCAAGGGUUGGAAAGGCUGCUGAUUCAUCUGCUAUAAUGAUAUAAUCCCACUGGACUAUCCAGGCAAGGCCAAAUUCACUAAAAAAGAAUAAUAAUUGGGGAAAACUGAAAGUUCUCUAGGGAUAACAAAAGAACUUUGGAAUAGCUCAAAGCCAUCCAAAAUGGGUUUUGGGAGAAUUUUAAUAGUUGGACCAAAAUAUGUCCACCAAUUGUGGAACCAAAAUGGAAAAGAGGGGAGUUGAUGCUUAGAUGGGAAAUAGAACAUCCCUGAAUGAUGGAAGUCCUUGUUCUGGAUCAGAAAAGCAUUGAACCAUACUCUUUGGUAGUCUCAAUAAUUGAAAAUUUUAGGUUUUGAAGGCUUAGAAAAUUCUCUUGAAAAAUUAGGAUUCCCACCCCACUGCUUAACUGUAAGGAUUUUAUAAAUAUGGUAAGUGGAGAAUGCCAAAUCCAAAUUGCUGAAUUUAUCAGCAUUGUGCUUGAUUUUAACAGAGCCGGUUUCCAUAAGGAUUGCUUCAUAAAAUUCUCUUGUUUUUAAAAGAUCACCAAAGGGAUAAUGAAAAUUUUCAUGAAAAGCUUUUGCUGCAAUAUCUCUAGGGUUUUUAGAGAAAAACUCUUUUUCAAUAACCAAAAGAGGUUGAUUUAAAUCUUUUUGCCAAUAUCUUGCUUUUGCUGAAAGAGGUGUGGGGUUGGCUACCACCACAAUUUGCUUAUUUGAAAAAGAAGAGCUUGAUGCUAAUUCAUUUUGAGAGGGAUUAGCUUUAGUAACCUGCUUAAAGGUCUGAGACACAGUAAUAGUUGGAUACUGAGUAGCCUUGACUGGUUUAGAAGGAUUCGAAGGAUCAUAGUACAAGGACAAAAUCUUAUUAGGCAUAUGGUCAGAAGAAUGAAGCCUUGCUUCUUCUUCUAGCUCAACUUGUUGGCUCCAAAGUAUUUUAUGGGGAGAAGGUUCUUUGCUGGUUUUAGAAGACUAGGAUUCUGGAAGUUUAGGAGCUUGGGUAUUCUUUUUAGGGGCCAUGGUUUCGUGAAUCCUGUAAAAUUCACAAGUUAAGAAAUCAGGGCUCGAAGAAUGUUCUCCUUUAAUAUACUCAAUUUGUAAAUUAAAAUUGCUUAAAAUAGCUUGAUAUAUAGCAAAAAUAUGCUUAGAAGUUAUAUUCUUAACAUCCUUUUGUAAAACUAAUUUUGCAAAUUUACAAUCAACUCUUAAUAAAAACUUUUGAUUCAAAAGAUCAUCUUGAAAUUUUGAAAUGCAUAAAACAACGCUUAAAGUCUCUUUUUUAAUGAUGUUAUGAAUGAGUUGGGUAGUAUUCCAGGUUCUUGAAGUAUACCUAACUAACAUCUCAAGGUUACCAACACUUUGCUUAAGAAUCCCACCAUAACCUAUGUCUGAGGUAUCGAUCCCAACAAACUCAAAGGUUUCUGGAUUGAUAGAGCCUAAACAUGGUAGGGUCUUGACUUUGGACUUAACAUCAAUAAUGAAAACAAUGGUGAAAACAGAAAACUGGUUAAAGUUUUCAUCCAUUAUAUUCUGGAAUUCUGAGGUGCAUUCUUAAGAUCAAAGGGCAUUAUGAACCAUUCAUAAUGUCCAAGAGAUACCACAAAGGUGGUCUUAUUUGGAAUAGGACACCUAAUCCAACUUAAUGUAUCAUUAAGAGGCAUGUAGUUGACGACUAGUCUAGGUGUUCCUUUUUCUGAUUCAACUUGUUCCUGAACAUAGAAGGUUGAACAACUCCAAAGGGACUUAGACUUCCUUAUCAACUUUUUAUCAAGAAGAUCCCAAAUCUCCUUAUCACAAUAGCUUAACAAACCCUUGUUCAUCUGGAUAGGUCUUGAUUUAGUGGGAAUAUUCUUGUCACUAAAGUCUAGUUCAUAAGGUAAUUCUACCUCAUGUUGUUUCCUAUGCCAAAAUGCAUUAGGAAUGUUAGAGCAAACUUCUUCAACAAUCAGAUUAAUUUCUUGCUCAUGACUUUCCUUAGCUUGAAUCACCUGAUCCCUUAAGGUGUUUAUAUUUUUCUUAUUAGGUGGUUGGCAAAUUCAAAAAUAAUUUCCUUAUCUAAGAGCUUUGUUCUUAUACUUUGGUCAUCUACCCACAUGGGAUAGAUGGAGCUUAAAAAGGGGAUUCCAAGGAGAGCUUUCUCCUUAAGAUCCUUAACUAGAAUGAAGGUUUGCUUGAUGCAAAUGCCUUGGUUAUUUAUGUGAGCAUCUGACAGCUUAUACUCAAUGUCAAGCCUUUUACCAUUAGCUCCAAAGAGAGAUUCUUUGGUUUUCUUACAAAACUUAAUAGGACCUAGACCUUCUUGUAGGCAAUUCAAAGCUGUUCCUGAAUCAAUCAAAGCAACAAUAUCAAUGACAAAUUUACUCUUAAUUACUAUAGUAAGGGAGACUUUCCACCUCUGGAAAAUAACCCUACUAACAGUAUUUAAGUAUCCAUCCGUCUUUUCAUCAUUAGCAUGUGAAGAUUCUAGAACCUCUUCAAGGUUUUCCUAGUUAUCAACAAGAUUUUCUAUAACAAUCCUAUUUAUUUGUUCUUGGAGAUCUGAAAAACCUAAGCUUGUGUAUUGUCUUAAAUCUUUAAUUUCCUUCUUAUACUGUCUUACUUCUUCUUGAAGAUCCUUAAUGGUUACGUCUUUGGUAGACUACUGGUUAAAUCUUCCUAAGAUUUCAUUUAAGUUAUAAGAAUUUACUGUCUUCUUAAUCUCUUGCUUAUCGACAAAUUUCUUAAAAACUUCAUAAAGAUCUUGUUUAGUUUUUUCAUCUUCAACUUUCCUUAAAACAUCUAGGACAAGUUCUUGAUCUUGGCUUAUGACAUUUAUAGUCUUAGGUUGGCAAUCACAAUUAUCCUUAAUGUAUUCUUCUUGGUCACUAGAAGUUUGGCUUGAGAUUUCCUCACCACUACUAUCUAGUUGGUUAAUACCAUUUUCAUUAUCUGAAUCAAUCCUUGAUUCAGACUCUGUGGAAUUUAACAUUACUUUACAAAGCAUAUCUUUUAAGUCUUCUGUGACAUUUAAGUUAUUAAUUUUCUGCUUAACCCUACAAUCUUUCUUAUAGUGGCCUAUCUUACCACACUUAAAACAAACUGGCUUAGAUUGUGAAGGAGCUUCUAGCUUUUUAUGGGCUUCUUUGUUCAUCAUUCUUUGGAUGUGCCUUUGUUUCUUAGUUUCAUUCAUCCUAUAGUUGCCAUGAGUUCCUCUCUUGUUGUGAUAGGACUUUUCCUUACUAGGCUUUGUACUUACUUGUUUCUUACGUUGCUUAGAGGGGGGCUUAGUUUCUUUUUGGUUGAAUCCAAACUAGCUACAAAAUGAACCAAACUCAUUCUUGUAGAUCCUUUGUUCAUUUUUCAUCUGUUGCUUAAGCUUAAAGUCAUUGCACAGUUUAAUUGCUUCUGAUGUGACAAUGCUUAUAAUUUCUCCAUAAGAAAGCUUAUCAUAAGGGAUUUGUCCAUUAAACUGUUCCCUUAUCUUAAUCCUAAUCCUCUCAGAGAAAAGUCUAGGUAGUCCUAAGAUGAAUUUUUCUUUCCAAAAAGACUGGUUAUAGUUUGAUCUUAGUAUGACUUUGGUUAGGAAAACUUCUCUAUACCAUCUAAAGUCAUGAAGCUUGGGACACUUAAGGUUGGUUAAGAGAUCUACAAUCUUAUCCUUAAUCUUUGCAGGAUCUCCAAUGAAGUGCUUUGAAAUUGAAUAGAUUAGAGUAGCCACUACAUCCUCUAUAUCUUGUCCAUCUUCAUCCUUAACCACUUCAUUUUCCUCAUUAAUCCUAUAGGCUUUUAGGAUACCAUUUCUAUCCUCAAAGGUGAGAUAAUUAUCCCACCAACCCUAAAGUUGACCUGUAAACCCAACAACAAUUGUUUGAGCUACAGCAUGGCCUGACAAUCUAUUGUUUAACUUAUAGGUUGUACUAACCAUGGUCAUUUCUUGAAGCUUAGUGAGUAUGUUGUACUCAAUCAUACCAUCUAUGUUCCAUUCAUAGAUAGUGUCACUAGUGUAGGAAGCUUGAGUAUGCUGGUUUCUUUCCUCAUACUACAUAUCAGGAAAAGUUGGUCUAGGGUAGUAAUUCCUAGUUCUUGGUUGUUGAUAAUCCUCAUAACUGUUUGGUUAGGAGGUUCCUUAAAAAUCUUAAUUAGUUCAUCAGCCUCUGCUUCAGAACUAAUUUCUCCUUUAACCAUAUUGAUUCUCUUGUGAGAUGGUUGAGGUGUCUCAGAGACAACAAGGCUAUCCUUAACCUUUUGGCUUAUCCUAUCAAUGAGGGCUUGAUCAAUAUGGAGAUUCUCUAGGAAUUUCUUAGAGAAUUCAAAAGGCUUAAAUAAAGACUUAUUAUCUUUCUUAACAAACGUAGUCUUAAUGUAGUCUUGUGUUUCAAUGAUAUCCUCAAACUUGUUGAGUUGAUCGCCUGUAGUCUUAAGAAACAUGUUAGUGUAGUUGUUUUGUUCCAUGAUUCUUCUAACGUCAACAACACUAUCAAUUCCUUUAUUCUUUGGCCUAGUCUUAAAAGGUGAAGCUUUGACUAUGGUUCAAUUAAUGUUCUUUUAUAUCUUAGCUUCUAGAGGGUGGAUGGAUUCUAUGAUAGUAUCGUCACUAGUUUUCCAUAUCUUAGUUUUUUUGGAUGUGUCAUUGACACGCUUACUAGGGUAAUCUAGAUAUUCCUCUUGUUUGAAGAGUUCAAACCAGAUCCAAUACUUAAUGUUCUUCUUUUCUUGUCUUAAGUAUGUGUAGAAUUCUUCUUGGUAGAGGGUUCUAAUGUCUUUAAGGACCUUGCUAAAGAACCAAACUCUCCUUUUCUUAUUGACUUCAGAAUAGAAGUCUUUCCUUAAGAGGUCCUUGUUGAUUCAAAGUCUUCGUUAAUUAGGCUUACAGUGUUAAUCAACUGAGAAUAAGUAGGAGACAUAUCAGGAGAUUCGUCCUGAUGUGAUUCUUGAGUAAACUCAUUUUCCUCCAUGUAAAAGGGUUUGGCCACGUUGGUGUGACUUCUAACACCUGUUAGCUUAAUAUUCUUAGGAUUUGCUGAACUAGAUCCUUCCUCUAUCCUAGUGGUUCUUAUUGGGAUAGAUGAACUUGAAGCUCUAGAGGGCUCAUAAUAUGAAAUUCUAAGGCUGCUAGAAUGAUGAAAAGAGUUGGAGAAAAUUAGAUCUCGUUCUCCAUCAGGAUAUUGAACAAUCUGUUCAAUUCUUUCAGAUCUUUGCUCUAUGGCUGGGACAACAUUAGCAAAAUGCCAAUUUUCUGGAAACUCAACCUCAUUCCACUUGAUUUUCAUGGGGACUAUGAAAUUAGACUUGUUUAUCAUAUCUAAGUGGAAGAUAGUGGUUUCACCCUUGGGACUGGUGCACAAUGCUCCAAAUCCAACGCUUAUGGUCAUGCUCUUAUAGGCAAAUCUGGUGAUGAUGGAAACAUGAUUGUUUCCUUGCUUGAACUUAAAGUCAUGGGUCUUAACAUGAAGGACAACUGAAUCUAAGAUGUUGACAUCUCUUAGUCUAACUGUGAAGUUAGGGAAACACUGGAAAUAAACAGGACCAUCAUUUAAUCCUGCUUGGGUAGCUCCAAUAAUAGAAUCUCGGUAAUCAAGAUGUCUAUUAUCUCUUAAACACAUGACAAUAAAGGUGUUUAGACCUAGUCUUGUCAAGGGCUUAGCUGCAACUUGAAUCAUGCCAAAGUGUAUGAAGUUGUAGUCUCGCUUAUGCUUAUCAAUGGACUUACUAUCCAAGAGUCUUAUGACUUGAUCGUCGUGUUCUAAACUUACUGACAUUUCAGGGGUUUUAAUGGUGUAAUCUGUAAAGAACUUAAAGGUUCCUUUCUUAUAAAUUUCUUGAUUAGGUACCUUGGGUAACUUCCAAUCAUCUAAAUCAUCUUGGAUCUUAGGAUAAUUGAUCUCUUCAUUGUUUACUCUUGAGAAUUUGUGGAUUUCCUAGACAUGGUUCUGAAAAUCAAACUCAUUUUAAGGUUUUAAUCUAGAGCCUAAUAGCAGAUUAACAGACCUAGUGAGUAAUCACCCCAACCCUUUUCCAACCUUAACAAACGCCUAUCUCCAGCUAACAAUGGGCUCAACUCGGCAAGGAUCGCACUCAGGCACACUACUAUCUUUCCUAGGAUAGAUCAAAACACCCAAAACAAACCCGACUUCCUUUUCCUAGGAUAUAUAUAGUAUUUUGGGUUUGAGUAGGAGUUCAUGUUUUGUAUGUAAUUGUAGUCUACGUUGGACUAGGUUGUUUGCUCCUAAUUGAAAUAGGAAUGGUUGGUGUCACAUCUCAUUCAUUUUCUCAUCUAUUUCCAUGUUUAGAUAACUCAAGUAAUCAUAGGAAUGAAAUUAAGAAUGAUUUGAGGGAAAUGAAAUCUCACUUGUAAGUGGGAUCUCAAUUCAUCAUUAAUAGAAGGUAUUUUGAUUACAUAGUGCAAGUUAUUUUUAAAAACACUUUUCAAAAAUUGAAAAACCAAAAACUCUCUUGGAUAAGUUGUUUUUAAAAAGAAUUUUUGUAUUUUUAUUUUGUAAAAAAAAAAAAUAGUAAUUCAAUUUAUAUAAUAUAAAUAGACUUUAAUUUUAUUAAAAAUAAAAAUAAUUUUUUAAUUACAAAUAAAUUAAAAAAUAAAUAUUUGUAAUAAAAUAUGAAUAGUAAUAUUAUAAUAAAAUCAUAAAUAAAUUAAAAAUAUUUUUAAAAACAAAUAAGUUUAAUUUUUUUGAGGUACAAAUGAGCCAAAUUUUUCAUUAGGUACACAACCAACAAUUUUUAUUGGAAACAUUCCUCAAAAAAGAAUUCGUUUCCCAUAUAGCAAAGAUAUUUAUUAUUUAGUAUCUAACCAUCCGUAGUAAUCAUAUCAAUUCUACUAAGUUAUUUAAUAAUUCAUUUAUAUAUAGUACUCAAUUAUGAAUUUUUUUAUUUGAUGUAUAAUUAAUUAAUCAAUGUUUUGAAUUUUGAAUUAUUCUUAAAAUUUAAAACAUUAAUUAUGUCUAUUACUUUUUAUAGUCAUUAUAUAUAUAUAUAUAUAUAUAUAUAGAGAGAGAGAGAGAGAGAGAGAGAGAGAGCUUAAAUUUAUCUUUAAAAAUUAUUAAAUUUAUUAAUAAAUUCAAUACAAAGACUCAUUUGAUUUGAAAUUCAUUUCUUUAGUGAAAAUUUUGAAACUAAAUAGUACUUUGUUUUACUUUGUUUUUAAAUCAUACUCACAAAUAAGUUUUUAUCAUUUAGCCAAAAAAUCUCAAAGAUGUUUCUAAUUUUAUUUAUUUAUUUAUUUGUAAAUGAAAAUAAAAAAUUAGUUUAAACUAAAUAUGCGGAUAUUAUUGUUAAUUUAUUUCAUUUUUUAUUUCCAUUGUUAUUUAACAUUGAAACGGAAACAAAUAAUCAUUCCAAUCUUACAUUCUUAUAUGCAUCUAAACACAAGAAUUGAAAUCACCAAAUUCAUAUUCAAGGCAAAAUAGAAAUGGAAAAAAAAUAUUCAUUUUCAUUCCUCAUUCUCAUGUGCUAAACAUGACAUUAGUUCUACUACCUAUUUCACCAUUCUUCUUGAUAAAUUUGGUAUAUGCAAUAUUGAUCUAAGUGUGAGGUGAAUAAGAAUGAUGAUGGGAUGGGCUUGGAAAUAAGGGCAAAGUUUCUAGGUGCUAUCUAGAGGGGCAACGCGACUUUUUCAAAUUUCGAAUAUUUGUUCUCAACAUAAAGCAAAACUUUACUCACACAAUAGAUAAGACUCUGUUUGUUUUCUUCAUCCACGACUAUAUAAUGUAUAGCUCUUACUCAAGGGAUGAGCUACUUACUAUUAAGGAUUGGGUAAGAUAUUGCCUAAUGGCCAAGAAGGCAUGUCAAAAAAUAAAUCUAAUCACCAUAAAAAAUAAUAGGGGAAAAUUAAUAUAUUAUGAAUGAUGACUUUACUAUUUCUCUAUAUACAUAAUUAUAUAUUUUGAAUUUUCUCACUAGGUAAUGAGAUUCUAAAUCAACUGAAACAUAAUUAAUAAUUUAUAUUUUUAAUGAAUCUUUUAAUUUUUAAAAAUAAUUUAAAAUUUUAAAAAACAAUUCAAUUAAUUACAUAUUAAAUCAAAACAUUUCAAAAUAUUGUGUUUGUAGAUGAGUACUAAAUGCUUGCAUAUAAUAAUAAUAAUAAAAAAAUUGACUCAUUUAGAUGUUAAAAAAGUUAAAUGUUUUUCAUUAUUCAUUUUAAGUAAAAUAUUAUUGACAUUAUUAUUAUAAAAUUAUUAUUAUUCAUUUUUAACAAAAAACAAAAUAAGUUAUUCUUUUACCAAGAUGUCAAUAUCUAUAUUUUUCUAACAUAUAUUAAAAUAGUAUACUUUUCUUUUAUUAAAAAUAAUAAUUAUUAUUAUAUUAUUAUUCAAGUUUUAUUAAAAAAAUUUAUCUUUUAAUUCAUUUGUAAUUACAAAAUAAUUUUAUUUUAUUAAGAAUUUAAUUUAAUUACGCUUUUUUUUUUUAUAAAAAAAACAGUUAUGCUUUUACCAAGAUGUUAAUAUUCAUAUUUUUCUAGCUAACAUAAAUAGAAUAGUACACUUUUUCAUAUAAAAAAAUAAUUUAUGAUUUUAUUAUAAUGUUACUAUUCACAUUUUACUAAAAAUAUUUAUUUAUUUUAUUUAUUUUUAAUUAUAAAAUAAUUUUAUUUUCAAGAAUUUAAUUUUAAAAAAAUAGAAAUCAUUUAUUCUUUUACCAAGAUGUUAAUAAACAUAUUUUUCUAACAUAUACUAAAAUAAAAAAGUUUACUUGUUCAUUAAAAAAUAUAAUUUAUGUUUUUAUUAUAAUACUACUAUCUAUGUUCUACUAAAAAUAUUUAUUUAUAAUUAAAAAAUAAUUUCAUUUUUAAUAAGACUUGAACUAAAUUAAAUUUAUAAUUUUUUUUUAAAAUAAAAUAGAAAAUUAUUUUUUAAAAACAACUUAUUGAAAGAAAUUUUUUAUUCUUUACUUUUAAGAACUGUUUUUAAAAGCAACCUAUAAACCCCUUUGGGUCUGUUUGGCUAUGUUUCAUGCAACUUGUUUUUAAAAAUUGUUUUUUAUUCUUUAAUUUAAUUUUUUUUAAGUUAAAGAAUAAAAAACAACUUUCUAGUGUUUUAUAAAAAUGAGAGCUUUUGACAAGUUGUUUUUAAAAACCAUUUUUAAAAAUAAAAAAUAAAAAACUUAUUUAGAUAAAUUGUUAUAUAUAUAUAUAUAUAUAUAUUUGUAAAAACAUUUUAAAUUCAAUUUAUAUAAUAUAAAUUUAAUUUAAUUUAAGUCUUAUUAAAAAAAAAUUGUUUGGAUAAGUUUUUUUUUUUAAAUAGUUUAUUAUUUUUGUUUUGUAAAAACAUUGCAAAUUCAAUUUAUAUAAUAUAAAUUAAUUUAAUUCAAGUCUUAUUAAAACCAAAAUAAUUUUAUAAUUACAAAUAAAUUUAAAAAUAAUUUUUUUAGUAAAACAUGAAUAAUAAAAUUAUAAAUUAUAUUAUUGUGGACCCUGCAUUUAUGCUCAUGCGCUUCCACUUGUUGGCGAACUCAUUUUUUAUUUGAAAAUGAUUUAUUUUUUUAGAAAAUGACUUAGAGUCGCCACUUAUUUUUGUUUUAUUUUUAAAGGGCAAGCAAAAUAAGAAAGAAAACCCUAAGUGUGACUCCUUAUUCGAAAAAGGUAGUCUGUGUAAAACCGGAUCAGGGUUCAGGGAUCAGGUUACUUAUUGGGAAGGUAUGACAAUGACCGUAGCACUCCUCUAAGUCCUUAAAAACGGGCCUCUACUAAAAAAAAUAAAGUAAUCAUGGCAAUCAGUAAGGAAAUCACUGGAUACCCAGAACAAUUAUGCACAUGUGAGAAUUAAAACAUGCAUAAGAAUGGACAAAGUGAGAGUGGGUGCGUACCUUGACAACGAACCACAAUGCGUUAUCAAGAAAUGGGGUUAGUGCACGAUCAAUGAACAUAAAACACGUCACACAUGUCACUAAGCAGAGUGAGAAAUCAUCAGAUAUUACAAUUCAAUCAAAUUUAUUUUUAGAAGAAACAUCUGUUGAUGUAGAGCCCCUACCAAAGCCUAAUUUAUUUUUGCAUGAAUCAAUUUCAUAAAUUCAAUCGCUUGGAAUUACAGAAUUAAAUUCAUGCUUAUUUUAAAACAUCUUUUUAAAAUCAUGGAAGAUGUGAAAAUGGUUUUCCAAAGAGAAAAUGACAACUGAUUUUAUUGAAAAUGGGAUUUUGGGGACCUAAACGUUAAAGAGGGAUUAGGAAUUGAAAAUUAAAUCAUUUGAAAAUUGAAUUUUUCAAAAAUCAGUUUUGAAAGCAUGCAUGCAAGUAUGGACUGUGAAAGUGGGCCUAGGGAGGGUGGCCAUGCAAAAUGAGGUCAUACACGUGGGCCUUGGGUACAAUUGGGACUACUUUGCUGGUGCCAGUGGUGCUUGCAGCUGUCAUCCAUGAUUUCUUCAUUGGGAUCAAUUUCCAUUCUUACUGCCAAACAUUCCAUAACAAUUGACCAAACUAGUAACCCUGACCUUGCAUGAAAAUGAACGUUACCUAGAAACUCACUGCCAGUGAGAUUCAUUGCUCUUUCAAAAGGUCUCAUUUUCUUUCUCAUCCAAUUGCUUUAAGGAGCAUUCUAGCGUCACGAUUGGUGACUGCGCAUCAUCUAGAGCCUUCUUUCUUCUCAGAAUCAGGUUUGCGUGCAGAGGCCUGUGCUUGUUCAAGGUUGACCUAAAUUCAUCUAGGUUUAGAACCGACCAGUUGAGCUUGGGGAGCAACGACAAGAAUAUCAGUCACUUGCGAAGAGAAAACUCGAGAUCUUUCAAGUAAUGCCUGACAUAGAUUCCUCCAACCUGUGGCCAAUAUCUCAUUCCUUGUUGGCCAGACGCCUAUUAGGGCGUAUCUCAAUCAAUAAUAUGAUUUUUCGUUUGUUCACAAUAAAGACCGGAAGCCAUGGUUGUGAUUUAUGCAGUACAGAAGAAGUUGCCAUGGCUGGUAUCCUUACAAAUUCUGGUGUUUCUGCUAUCUGUUCAAGUGCAAAACACAACAGCUUUAUCAAGUUUGUCCCUAACAACUGAUAUUGAGCCCUCUGGAGGAAACCUUGAUAAAUUCAUAAUCACUUUUGACUCAUGCAUGGGCUGCCCAUCAAAUUUUCCUAGCAACGAGACGACUGCUGUCAUCUACUGCAAAGAGAAUUUCUUCUCGCAAAGACAAGAGGAGUUUAAGAAUACACACUAUUCUGCCAUUUCAUUUCCUCUUUCUCCACAACCAACAUAAACCAUAGUGUCUACAUUAGAGUACUUAGAAAGAGCUUAACUGAUGACCGUUUUUCCACAACCAAAUGCCCCAGGUAUGGCACAAAUUUCACCGAAAACAGAAGGGAAAAGGGCAUCAAGAACACGCUGUCCUGUAAGUAGUGGGGUAUCAGGACUACUCUAGGGAAGUUAUUUCUGUCAUUUUGAAAAAGAAAAAUUAAAGAAUGUACACAUGCUUUCAAGUGGACUGGAGCAUUCUACAUAUCAGGUGGUCUGUAGCCACAUGUGCCACUUUGUGGAAGUUGGAACAGUCGAUCACUAGGCUAUUUAGUGUGGCCAAGCCACGUUAAUCAAGGACAAGUCUUCAUACUUAAAAGUCAAAUGGUGCCUUUAGUCUCAUUACACAUGGCUAUUUAAAGAUGAACUAAUCUUUAGUGUAAUGUGAUUAAGACAGUACUAACUGAUCAAUAUUUUUUCUAAUUUUGGAUGCAAAUGCUUGCUGGCUUCAUCAUUGGAUGGGAUAAAGGUGCAUUCAUGACUCUGAAUACUUGCAGUAAUACUUGCAGUAAUACUUCAUUCUCUUUUUUCUCGAUGAGACUUCUUGGCACAAUUUUGCUUCUCAGCAACCUACCUCUCCAUGGAAAAUGAGUUGCGAUUGAUGGUACUGGAUAUUUUCUAGGAAGCUAAAUAUAGAUAUAUAGCACUCAAUGUCAACGAUAUAUAUAGCAUUAACAGUAUAUGUCUCAAUGCUCAUCAGCUACAAGCAAGGGACAAACACUUACAAUGAAUAACUCACGUCAACAUUCCUAAACAGGACAUAGAAGUGACAGAUCUAUAUAUAGAACACUGCAUAUGAGUCACAAGAAAAGAUAAUACGGGUGCAUAGCAGCUCUUAUAUUACAUAUUACUCAUACCGUUCAAAUUCACUCAGUUGGGAUGGGUGGGAGAAGGAGGCCUCUGGGGUGGCUUGUGCGUGUGAGAAGUGGAAGAAAGUUGAAUGGAAUGAAACUGAAAAACAGGGUAGAAUAGAGGUUUCUUGAAUCUUCUGAAAUCUUUAUUUUUCUGAGAUUUAUUCUCUGUUUUUGUGAGUCGUGACUCUACAUAUAUACAUGUAUUUAAAGUUAGUUAUGCCUUAUAACUAAUUAUCUAACAGUACCAAAACUAAUCAUCUAGUUGCAUGUUUCUAAUUAAUGCUAUUUAGUUACAACUAUAUAUGGCUUAACAUCCUCUCUCAAACUCAAAAGUCUAGCUAGAACAGUGAGUUUGCUUCAUAGAUUGAGAAAUUGUUGAAUAGGUAAGGCUUUGGUAAGAGCAUUAGCAAUCUGGUCAUAAGAAGGAAUGUGUUGAACCACCAAAGUCUUAUUGAGCACCUUUUCCUGAACAAAAUGGCAAUCUAGUUCCACAUGCUUAACUCGAGAAUGAAAAUAGGAUUGGCAGCAAGAAAGGUGGCUGAAAGAUUGUCAUAGAACAAAACAAAAUAGGAGAAUAAGAAGAUGAGAUAGAAAACUCCUGAAGAAGAUGUUGAAUCCAUUGAAGUUCAAAAGCAACAUUUGCUAAGGCCCUAUACUCAGCUUCAUUGCUGGAACGAGACACAACUUUCUGCUUACUGGAGUUCCAGGAGACUAGAUUAGAGCUAAAAAAGAUGCAAUGACCACUUGUACUUCGACGAUCAUCAGGGCAACCAACCCAAUCAACAUCAGCAUAAGCAGUAAGUUGAAAAUCAGGAGAAGAAUAAAAGGAAAGACCAAAGGAAGUAGUGCCCUUAAGAUAAUGCAACAAUCGUUUAACAACUUGCCAAUGAAGAUCAGUUGGUUAUUGCAUGAAUUGGCAAAGUUUAUUGAUAGAGAAAGAGAUGUCAGGCCUUGUAAUGGUACAAUAUUGCAGGGCUUCAACAAUGUUGCGAUAUUGAGAAGGGUCAGCCAAGAGGGAACCUUUAGAGGCAGAUAAAGUGUGAGAGGUAGUCAUUGGUGUAUCAAUAGGUUUAAAAUAUGGAAGACCAGCACGAGUUAACAAGUCCUGAAUAUAUUUGGUUUGGGAAAGAUGAAGAGAAGAUCCUUGCCAACAUACUUCUACACCCAAGAAGUAAUUCAGAAUACCAAGGUCCUUGAGAGCAAACUGAAAGUGUAAAGACGAAACCAUUUGGUGGACUAGCACGGUAUUAAGACCACUAACAAUAAUGUCAUCAACAUAGAUGAGAAUAAUGAUCAUGUCAGUCCCUUUCCGAAGAGGAGCUUGCUUCAGACCCUACAAGGCUUUGCGAAGUUUACAGAAAAAACCGGGUUUAGAAUGAUCAACAAAGCCUGGAGGUUGAACCAUGUAAACCUCUUCUUCUAACUCACCAUUGAGAAAGGCAUUAUUAACAUCUAAUUGUUCCACUAACCAACCAUGAGAAAUAGCAAGAGAAAGAACAAUUCAUAUAGUAGUUGGUUUAACAACAAGGCAAAAGGUUUCAAAAUAAUCAAUACCAUAUGUUUGAUUAAAACCCUUUGCAACUAAGUAGGCUUUAAAACGAUCAAUUGAGCCAUUAGCUUUGAGUUUCAGCUUGUAUAUCCAUUUACAACUAAUAAUGCGUGUAUUAACAGGUUUAGGAACCAAUGUCCAUGUGGAAUUGGUGAGAAGAGCAUCAUACUCAGUCUUCAUAGCAGCUUGCCAAUUAGGAUGCAAUAUUGCUUCUUUGAAAGAGGAGGGUUCGACAACAGUAGUUUGGAUAGCAAGGCUAAAUAUUUUUUUGGGUUUAAAAAUACCAUUUUGGCUACGAGUAACAAUAGUUCGGUUUGGAAGUGAAAGAGGAUCAGUGGAGGAGGCUGGAACAAGGGAUUGUGGUAAAGUAGGAAAGGAAGGUGGAUGAGAUGGAACAAAAUCAGUAGGGACAAUAAUGGGAGAAGAAAAAUUAGGUGGAGAAUGAUGAGGAUUCCUUGAAGAUGGUGUAGGAAUAGAGAGAAUACCAGAAUCAAGAAGUGUUAAAGAAGAGUUGGAUGAUGAUACUGGUUGACAGGAUAAAGACUUUGUUAAAAAUGGAAAUCGAGUUUCAUCAAAUACAACAUGACGAGAAGCAUAUAUCCGAGAGGAAGCCAUAUCCAAACAGAGGAAUCCCUUGUGUUUAGCACUAUAACCCAAAAAACAGCAAACAACAAAUAUAUUUGCUAGCUUGUGAGAAGCAUAAGGGCGAAGAUAAGGAAAACACAAGCAUCCAAAACUUCAAAGAGAUGUAUAAUAAGGUAAACGAUUAUAAAGAACUCCAUAAGGAGAAUUUUGUGAAAGAACAGCAGAGGGAAGGCAAUUUAUGAGAAAAAUGGCAGUUUGAAAUGCAAAUGACCAAUAUUUGAGAGGGUAUACCAGCUUGUAUUAACAAAGAAAGACCAACUUCCACAACAUGACGAUUCUUUCUUUCAACUCUUCAAUUUUGCUAAGGAGUAUAAUGACAAGAGACUUGAUGAAGAAGACCAUUUGUAGCCAAAUAAUUCUGAAAAGCUGAAACUGAAACUCAUCAAAUUGAUUUUUAGUAUCAAAUUUUCUUCAGACUGAACACAUUGAUUUUUAGUAUCAAAUUUUCUUUCAACCAUGGCUUGAAAAUGUUGGAACAUAAGUAAAGCUUCAUCUUUAGUUUCCAAAAGGUACAACCAUGAGAAUAUGCUAAAAUCAUCAAUUAGCAAGAGGAAAUAUUGAGCAUUACCAUUGACAGAAACUAUAGGAGUUGCACCCCAAAGAUCAACAUGGAUGAGACCGAAUGGUUUUAUUGCUCUAGAAGUGGAUAUUUCAAAUGGAAAACGAUGGCUUUUAGCCAACUGACAAGACUCACAUACAGAGUUAUUAUUGUCAUGUUUCAAAGGUAUUUUAUAAAGAGAUAAGAUUUUGGAAACUACAUUAAUAGAGGGAUGACCAAGUCUAUUAUGCCAAAGCCUCAAAGAACCAACGGCUAAAGUACUACUAGUAGAGUAAAAUACUAGUGGAUGACCAACAACUCUUGGUGUAGCAAGAAGUUUAUAGAGACCCUUCUCAAUUUUUCCUUGAAGAAGAGCAAGUCUCGUUUCCUGAUCCUUUACCACAAAAUGAGAAGAACGAAAUUCAAUAAAGGUGCCAUUGUUUGAGUAAAAUCGUUGCACGCUAACUAAGUUGGUGGUAAUAGAAGGAACAUGUAAGACAUCAUUGAAAAACAAAGAACCACUUGAAGAGGCAAGAGAAAAUUUACCAAUAUUUGCAAUGGAUAAACCCUUACCAUCUCCAACAAUUACUUUGUCACCACUGGUAAAUGGAUUAUGGAUUGUUAAAUUGUUAAGAUCAGAUGUGAGAUGAUGGGUAGCCUUUGUAUCAAGAAACCAAUAAGUGUCUCCCAUUGUUGCAGAAGUUGUAGUCAUAGCCUCAGGAUUGUUAGAGGUGGAAUGUUUAGAAUCUUUUGGCUGAUAAUCAGAGUUAAACCGAUACCAGCAUUGUAAAGCGGUGUGUCCGAACUUACAACCGAGAGAAAUAAUCUUUACUUAUUCUCUAAAAACUGUUCUUUAUUCCACACAUUAUUUCUAAAAACUGUUUCUAGAUAACAAUGACAAAAUAGUAUUAGGAAUUUUUAAAAAUAAAAAUUGUUUUUAAAUUACAUGAUCUAUAUCAUUCACAUUUGACCAUUAUAGCUUUGUUCAGGAAAACACUUGAAAGUAACCUUAUCGUGAUAAGAGAUAUAAGUUGGCUGUAGUUUCAAACUGAAAACAGAGGAUGGCAAUAGAAAGCAAAGCAUUAGUUAUCUGCAAUCAGUGGUGAUCAUGCCCCAUGUCAAUUUCGGACCCAUAUCUUAAAACCGUAUAAUUUGCAUUUCAACAUUUCUGAUUUCUCAGAUGUUUCAUACUCCACAGAAGAACAUUGUUUGUGAAAGCAUGCAUUUAUGCUGGAUUUUGGAUGAUGUGGGAACUGGGGCAAGGAUCAUAUGGAAGAGUGGUCGAUUUUUUCUGUACUUUAACAUUUGAAAUAGGAGCAGCACGGGCAUUUGUGGGGCUUAAUUGAUUUUGAAGCCUGAAAUUGCGUUUCUGUCAUUUUGUAAAAAAUAUGGCAGAUUCCAUGCUCUCAUAUGUUUGGUCUGUGGCCAUGUAUAGAUGCCACUUAGUGACCAGUUUGUAACUGUCAAUCAUAGUGUUUUGACUCUGGCUCAACAACAUCAGCCAUUGACGGAUUUUCAUACAUGCAAAUCAAAUAGUCUUCUUCCUCCCUUAGGAAUUUCGGUUUAAAUGUUAUUAAGCAUACAUUUGGCUGACAAUUAUUAACCACUUCAUGAUAUGGUUUCUUACCCUUAAUCAAUGGUUUCUAAGUGAAUAUAUGCAGAAGGAAAUCUGAACUGUAGACAGCAGUAUUGAUAAUUAUCAAUAUUCUUUAUAUAAGAGAAUAAACAACGUCAUAGUGAUCGUCGCCUACAAGAAAGGUACAUUUCCCAACAAGAUGUAGUUGUGACUGGUACAUGGACGUAAUUAACUCGUAGAAAAGGAUAAGACCAGUGCACGGCAGCUCUUAUUUUACAUGCUAAUUAUGCUAACCAAAGUCACUCAGUUGGGAUGGGAGGGAGAUGGAGGUUUGUGCGGUGGCUUGUGGGGCGGAGUUGGUGGCUUCUUUUCAGGAGCUUGUGGCUUUUUCGGAGCUGAAGGAGGCUCAAUCUUAUGAGGCGGCUUGUACGAGUCUUCUUUACUCUCGACAGGAGGGUGGCCAGGGUUGUGACCAUAAUGUGGUGGCUUCUCUCCCUUAGGUGGCUUGCCAACUGGGGUUGGUGGCUUGUGUUCAGGAAGUGGUUUCUCUCCCUUGGGAGGUUUACCAAUUGGGGUUGGUGGCUUGUGUUCUGGGAGUGGUUUCUCUCCCUUGGGAGGUUUAGUGGGUGACUUGUGUUCUGGAGGUGGCUUCUCCACCGGAGGCUUGUGCUCCGGUGGUGGCUUCUUGGUUGGA
rnacentral:lncRNA from 1 species